AUGAAUUUGGGGGCCAACAAGUUUUCUGGUAAUGUGCCUGUCUGGAUUGGGGAAAACUUAUCAAAGUUGUAUGUUCUUAUCCUAAGAUCAAACAAAUUCUUUGGAACCAUCCCACAAAAGUUAUGUCGGUUAGCUAAUCUUCAAAUUCUAGAUCUGUCAAUGAACAAUCUCAAUGGAACCAUCCCCUCAUGUUUGAGUAAUCUUACAAGCAUGCUUCAACAAGGAGGAUUCUCACAAGAUGUGCAGCUUAAUACAACUUACAGAGCUUAUGAAUAUAAACAGGAGACAUACGUUGACCAUGCGAUGAUUGAGUGGCAAGGAGAUGAACGCGAAUUCGUUAGCAUUCUGAAAUUGUUAAAGAUCAUUGACCUGUCAAGCAACAAGUUAACAGGACAAAUCCCACAUGUAGUUACCAAUCUUUCUGACUUAGUUGCCUUGAACUUGUCAAGGAACGCUCUAUCUGGAGAGAUUCCACAGAAAAUUGGUGAGAUGAAAAAGCUUUUGACUUUGGAUUUAUCCAGAAAUAAUUUCUCAGGGGGGAUACCAUCAAGCAUGUCUCAGAUGAGUUUACUGAAUGACCUAGACUUGUCAUACAAUAACUUGUCAGGGAGAAUCCCAUCAAGCACUCAACUCCAGUCCUUUCCACCUUCAAGAUAUGUUGGAAACAGAGGACUAUGUGGACCUCCUCUUAACAAAAAGUGUCCUGGAGAUGAAGAAUCAGAAUCACCACCAAUCAUUGGUAAAAGUGAGGGUGAUGGGGAAGAAUGGGGAUGGUUUUAUAUUGGUGGGGGCAUGGGUUUUGCCACUGGAUUUUGGAUAGCAUGUGGGGCUUUACUUGUCAACCGUCGAGGGAGGCGUGCAUUUUUUCACUUUUUUGAUAGUUUCAAAGAUUGGGUUUAUGUGAAGGUGGUUGUGUUCGUUUCAAGUUUGCAAAAAGGUAGACAGAUGUAGUUUGUUAUCUAAUUCUUAUUUUUGACUUCUUAUUUUCCAGUAUACAAUGUAAUAUGGUAGUGGUUUUUAAUCCCCCAAUAUCAAUAAAUUAAGGCCACUUUUGGCGCAUUUCUGCGACUCGGUAUGUGGUAAUUAAGUGCACUUUAUUUAUGUUUAUAAAAAACGGGCUUUUAAUUAGAUGGGUGGCCAUUAGGUUUAACUAAUAAAAAACUCUUACAAACCAAGAGUCACACGACACGACAUGAUUCAUUGGCAAUAAAAAAAAAUAGAUAACAUAGUAAUGUAAGUAUGUAACACUCUAAUGAAUCGUUCUCUGCAUGCAUGUAAAUUGUAUAGAAAUUGUGUCUGUAAUUUGUAAUCUGUUUGACUGAUUGACUGACUGUAUAUGCUACAUUAUGAUUGUAAUGUGUAAAUCUGUAUGUAAGAUGCAUGCUAGUACAUUGUUAAUUUGCUACUUAAUACUUAUGCUGUUAAUGUUAUAAAUGAAAUAAUGAAUUAUGAAUCAGGUCUGUUACUCUGUAUACUCUCUCUAUAUUUCUCUCUUUCUUAAUUGUUAUGUGAUCAACUAAUCAUUGUUUUAUACUUAUGUUGUAUUGCUGUAUUGCUGAUUUGCUGUUAAUUAAGUGUUUACCUGUAAAGUCAAAAGUGUAAACUGUUAUGAACUUAUAAUUAUGAUGUAAUGCUGUUAACUGUUUGACUGUUUCAGUGUUUUGUCAGUUGUCACUGUUAUGUACUUAUGUUAUAGCGUUAUUUUAUACAAGAUUACAAAUUAAUAUGUUUUGAUAUUUUGAUGUUUUCUGAAUUCUAAUUUCUAUUUUGUUAUACAUAAUGGUUUCAACUUCAGAUGACCAAGGUAGGAGAUAUGGUGCACAAGAUCCGAGUAAUAAAAACAAUGUGUGCUCUUUUUGUGGAUAAGUUCUGAAAGGAGGAGUAUAUCGCCUCAAACAACACUUAAUUGACGGGCAUAAAGACGCAAAGAAAUGUCCAAAUUGUCCGGAGCAUGUACGAGAAGAAUGUAGGACAUUCAUGCAAAACAAGCAAUCAAUAAAGGCACAACAACAUAUGGAAGCAAGUUUUCAGAUGCAACAACUGUUGGAAAUAUUACAGCCUUAUACAGCUGUUGACUGCUAUAUUUAUAAGUUGCAUAAUGGCCAAAAUUAUCUCUGUGAUUGUCAUUGUAUUAGAUGUAUUUUUAGCUCUUAAUUCUGUAAUUAGAGUAGAUUAUCUCUUUCCUUGUUUAGGCUAUUUCUUUCAUGUAUAUAAAUUGUUGUGAUGUGAAUAAGAAAAAUACAAUCGAAAAAAACUUUUCACCCUUUGUUUCAUGGUAUCAGAGGAGGUUCAUCCUAGACAUGAUCAGAAAAUCUCUCUUUUAAUUUACUUUCCUGAGAUUUUUUUCUUUCUAACCCUAAAAUCAGAUCUAUGGCCGGAGGAAACCAAUCCAAUGUCACUAACAGAUUUUGCUUUAUCCACAACAAAACCCUCUCUCCUUUCUACUCCUGACCUUGGGCAUACUCUGCAAAUCACCCAACACACACUAAACAGUCAAAGAAUGGUAUCAAUCUGUUUUGUUAGUCAUCCCAGGGGAAGUAGGCUAUGUUACCGGUGAAACUUGUCAACCGAAACAGGAUGAUGCAAGUUAUCAACAAUGGGAAGCAAAAACCCCCCAUUAUCAUGGCAUUACUUAUCAACUCCAUGGAGACAUGAAUUGGCAGGACAUUUUUAUUCUACAACAACGCCCAUGAAAUCUGGAAAUGUGUCCAAGCGAUGUAUUCAUAUCUUGAAAACACAUCUCAGUGUUUUGAGAUUCGCUCGACUCUAAGAUCCACCCGCCAAGGAACAAUGACAGUUACUUAUUAGUCGUGUAUAUUCUAUUUAUUAUAUAUGUAUAGAGUGUAGGUACCUAAGUGUAAAAUAUUGUGUUUAGGUCAAUCUCAUGGCCACUAUUUAUAUCUCACGGCUGGAUCAAUAAAGAACAGGGAAAAUAUUUUGCGUUAUAUUGUGUGUUAUAUUAUGGUAUCAGAGCUCUCUUUCUGAAAACCUAACCCUACUAGCCGUCGUUCCUUCACAAUCUCUUAUCUCCUUUUUUUUUUUUUUCUGACUACUCUCGAGAUGGAAAGAGCUCAGUACACUUCAUGGGCUGAGUUGUUUAGAAUCCAUUGUCGUGCAUUCCAGGUCAUUGAUCAUAUUGAACCCAAAGCUACAAUCAUCUCCUCCUCCACCACUAAUAAAGUCGGGGUUGAUAAACCAGCAGAUCCCAAACCAAUGGAUCCUGAUCUAUGGAAUCGAUUAGAUGCCAUUGUCAUCCAAUGGAUCUACAGUACUAUCUCGAAUGAUCUCCUCCAAACCAUUCUAAAACCGAAAGCUAGUGCAGCGCAGGCAUGGGCAGCCCUCGAGAGUGUUUUUCAAGACAACCAGAAUGAGCGUGCUCUCUACUUGGAACACAAACUAGUCACCAUUAAGCUUGUAAAUUUCUCAAAUUGCUUUGCUUACUAUCAGACGUUGAAGAUGAUCUCUGAUCAACUUUCUAAUGUUGGCGCCCCUAUCACUAAUCAACGACUCAUCUUACAGCUCAUUGUUGGUCUUACGGAUGCAUACGAAGGGAUCGCCAUGAUGAUCCAGCAAAUCAAGCCUCUUCCGGAUUUCUAUGAAGCACGCUCUCGUCUCAUCUUGGAAGAAACAAGUAAAGCCAAUCAUGCAACCCAGUCUGCUGUUGCAGAUGCAUUUGCCCUCAAUGUUUAGACUCAACACACUUGUCUCCCCUUACCCUACAAACGACUACAACAACGUCACUAGGGGACGUGGACGUAGACGAGGCACUAGAGGUCGUGAUCGUGGCAGAUGAGGUGGUAACUACACAGGUGGCAACCGUGGACAGCACCAACAAUUUCACCAAUAGACUCAUACUCCCUUCUGGCAGAAUCAACCUCAGUGGGCUCCUCAACCAUCCUGGAAUGCAUUGCCUCCCUCAUGGUUUCCUGCUCAACACACACCACCUUGUCCCUAUCCUACCACUCCGCCACGCUCAUCACAACCAUAACCCCCCAAUGCUCUAGGUUUACUUGACCCUUGACCACCACAACCACAAACUCAUAAUACCUCAGUUAAAUCCUACACUCCUACUGAUUUGGAACAAGCUUUUCACACAAUGAGUCUCAUCUCUCCAGACCCGAAUUGGUACCUUGACACUGGCGCAACAUCUCACAUGACAAACAAUUGAGGUACUCUCUCCUCAUAUAAUAAGAGUAAUUUCCGGAAUAUCAUUGUAGGUAAUGGCACACAACUUCCAAUCGAAGGCACCGAUAAUCAUAUUAUUACUCCACCCUAUCCCCCUUAAUCAAGUCCUUUAUGUUCCUAAUCUGAUUAAAAACUUACUUUCUGUCCGUCGUCUCACAACUUAUAAUAAUGUUUCAAUCAAAUUUGACCCAAAUGGUUUUCUUGUAAAGGACUUGCAGACCCGGAUGCCUCUUCUCAGCUGCAAUAGCUCCGGAGAUCUUUAUCCACUUACACUUAAGUCAACCCCUCCACUCAAGUCUCCUUCCACUUUUGCUGCAAUAAACCGAGAUCUCUGGCAUUUUCGUUUGGAACACCUGGGCGUUAAUGUGUUUCAUUGUUUGAAUAAUUCCUUGUUAUUUCCUUUUUGUCAUAAAAACUCUAUUUUUUUUAUUCGUGUGUUAUGGGCAAAAAUAUUAAAUUACCUUUCCAUUUAUCUCCUACUGUUACUGUUUCUCCCUUUGACAUUAUACAUAGUGAUGUUUGGACCUCACCGGUUUUGUAACAUCCCAAAUUUCGAGGCCAAAAAUUUUGUUUUUAAUUAAGUAACUCAUAAAACAGUUUACCAAAACAUUGUCAAUAUUACAUCAACUUAUAAAAACCAUAAUGUCGUGUCUCAAAACCAUAUCAUCAGAAGUAAUGAAAAUCAGAGUACAAUCCCAGAAACUCAAUGCGGAAACCAUGUGUGUAUGUGUGUGAUGCGCUGCUACACCGUCGGAACCUUCCCCUUAGACGAAGAGGUACCUGAAACCAAAACUAAAAACCGUAAGCACGAAGCUUAGUGAGUUCCCCCAUCAUACCCAUACCAAAUAAUACAUAAUCCUCAGUAUCUUUCAACCGGUAACUGUCAGGCAUAAUCGGGAGCUGGACUCCCCCUCAGUAUCUUUCAACCGGUAACUGGGAACUACCCUUCUAUUCGGUAUCUUUCAACCGGUAACUGGGAACUACCCUCUCAUUCGGUAUCUUUCAACCGGUAACUGGGAACUACCCUCUCAUUCGGUAUCUUUCAACCGGUAACUGGGAACUAACCUCCCCUUCGAUAUCUUUCAACCGAUAACCGGGGACUAUUUCACCCCUACUACUGCUAACACAUAAUAAGCAUAGUAAGCAUAUCAAUCAUAAUCAUAUUAAUCACAGUAAGCAUAUCACAUAUCAAAUCCCAGAUAAUUAUCACAAAGACAAUCAUCUAACCAAUACUCUUACUUGUGGGUCGGCAUUGUGACCGUAGACCCACCCCUACUAGGAGGAGACUCACCUCAAAUUCGUAAGAUCAAACUGUUUCUCUAAGUAUACAUGGAUUUUUUUAUCCUAAGAUCAAGCUGUUGGGUUUUAAGCACUAUAACACUCCUAUAGUGCACAUGCAACCCUAAAUGAUUUGGAUCUAUGUUUUCUCUAAUUAUACAUGCAUUUUCUUUUUCCAAAGCAUUCACCCUAGCUAGCACACAAUUGAAGCUAUAUAAUAUAAAACUUAAUUUGGAUGCUUACCUCUUGAGUAAGGUAGAGUUCUUGACCUUUGGAAGCUUGAGUACCUCAAGUGUGAUGCCUCUAAUGGUUCACAAACACCAAGUGCAAGAGGAGGCUUUAGAGAAUAGGUUAGUUGGCACAAAAUCAACUUCACUCUCUUAGAAUGUAUGGCAUGACCCAUUUUGGCUCUAGGGAGGGGUUUAUAUAGUGUGACAAACAUUAGGGUUACAUCCAUGAAAACCCUAAUGCUCCAUGACUUUUCACAUUCUCAUGCUCCAUUGUUUAAACCUCCAUGGACUAUCCAUGGUUCAUCUCAUUGGUUUAGCCCAUUCUAAAUAACUAUGGAUCAUUGGCCCACACUAUAAGAAUCAUUGAUUUGCAAUCAAGCCCCAUAUAUUUAAUUAGUCUCAUUUGAUCACAAAAUUAAUUUCAAAUUAAUUCUUGAUCAAUACUAAUUAAAUAAUAUGUUUUCUCAAUUAAUAUAUUAUACUUACAAUAUAUUAAUAAAUCACAAAUAACCUUAUUCUUAAAAGUUCACCCUAUCAAAUUGCAUUGAUGAAGGCAACCCAAAAGGACCAUGCUACUAUUGGGUCAAGUACAUCCCAGUUAUAGUUAUGGUCUUAGACACUAAAUCCAACACAAACAACUUCUUUGGAACCAUCCCUUUACAGUUAUGUCAGUUAUCUAAUCUUCAAACUCUAGACCUGUCAAUGAACAAUCUCCAUGGAAGCAUCCCCUCAUGUUUGAGUAAUCUUACCAGCAUGGUUCAACAAGGAGGAUUCUCACAAGAUGUGCAGUUUAUUACAACUUACAAAGCUUAUGAAUUUAAACAGGAGACAUACGUUGACCAUGCGAUGAUUGAGUGGUAAGGAGAUGAAUGUGAAUUCGUUAGCAUUCUGAAAUUGAUGAAGAUCAUUGACCUUUCAAGCAACAAGUUAACAUGACAAAUCCCAUAUGGAAUUACCAAUCUUUCUGACUUAGUUGCCUUGAACUUGUCAAGGAACGCACUAUCUGGAGAGAUUCCCCAGAAAAUUGGUGAGAUGAAAAAGCUUUUGACUUUGGAUUUAUCCACAAAUAAUUUCUCUGGGCAGAUACCAUCAAGCAUGUCUCAGAUGAGUUUACUUAAUGAACUAGACUUGUCAUACAAUAACUUGUCAUGGAGAAUCCCAUCAGCACUCAACUCCAAUCCUUUCUGUGACAUCCCCAAAAUCACGGCCAGAAAAGACCGGUUUCAUUUAUGCUUUUAAAAUAUUUUCAAAGUAAAUCCAUUGAUUUAAAAGAGUUGCAGAAUUUGUUCCCAAAACAAAACAUGAUAAAAUAAAGCUUAUCAAACCAUUUCAUCAAGAGAUACAUUUUCAUUAUAUGACAAUAUUCGAGAAGUCAUGUUCUGAUAAACAGACCAAAAGCAUAAACAACAAAAGAUAGACCAUACAACAGUUACAUAUGACAACUGGUCUAAUAUCAAAAGAUCUUGAUAAGUCAUCCAACUUAUGCCCUCGCACCACUACCUGUAAUACAACAAAACUAAGUGGGUCAGGCUUGGAAGCCUGGUGAGCAUAUAGGGUUUCCAAGCCACAAUAAAUAAUUAUAUUUAAUUCACCAACCAACAACAACAACCUGAUUACCCAUUCCCGUUAUCCUCACUUUACGUCCCUAAAGCAACAUCUAUUACAAGGGACCUAAUCUAGGAUUUUCAUUGGGAUGGACUCUACUGCAAGGGGUUUCCUCAGCAAUAAAAGUCCUAAAGGCAACCAUGAGGGGGAUAGAGUACACUGGUGAACACAUCGUUCACAACACCUACAGGUUAUGAGUCUGCUAGCGUUCCACAGGACUGUCUAGAAGGAGUCUGUGGUCGUUAUCCAUACUCCGCUGGAUAACUAGAAUAACAACAACAACAUCAAGGCCUCUCAUCUGUUUAUCACACAUCAACUAUCUACCCAUGUUCUACCCAACAUUUUAGUAGAUAAAAUAUACAUUUUUAUACAUGUUGGAUAUAGUGUCUAAGUCCAUAACUUUAUUUGGUAUGUACUUGACCCGACCCGGCAUGGUCCAUUUGGGUUGCAUGGCAUUGCAAUACUUGGAUAGACUAAAUGAGAGAAUAUGGCACUUAUGAUUAUUAAUAUAUUAUAAGUUCUAAUAUAUUAAUAAUAGUAUUAUUUAAUUAGUAUUUGAUCAAGUAUUAAUCUAGUAUUAAUUUGGUGAUCAAAGUGAGACUAAUUAAAUAUAUAAGGGUUGAUUAUGACAAUCAUCAAUUCUUUUAUGGUGGAUUAAUGAUCCAUGGUUUAUGGGUUAUGGAUGUAACCAUUUGGAGCUCCAUGGAUAGUCCAUGGGAGUUACAAACCCAUGGGUCAUGAGAAAUGAAGAGUCAUGACAAUUAUGGGUCUUCAUGAUGAAACUCUAAUUGUGACACCACUAUAAAAGGGACCCUUUGGCUAACAAAAUCAGACCUAGUGUUACUAGAGAGGGCAUAACCGAUUUUUGAGUGUAAGAAUUAUUCUCUCAAGUUAUUCCAAGUUUUGUGGUGCUGUGUGAAGCAUUUGAGGUACAACAUUUGGGGUGCUAGGCUCACAUAGUCUUGAAGGAAUCCAAGCAACAACAAGGUAUGUAUUUCUACUAGUUUUUAUGUUUUAUGUAAUCCCCAUGCCAUGCUAGUUAGGAAAUAACCUUGAAAAAGAAAUUUGCAUGUAUAUAGAGAAAACAUAGAUUCAAGGUUAUUAGGGUUGCAUGUACACUUAGGAAGUGUUAGAAUGCUCAAAACCCAUCANNNNNNNNNNNNNNNNNNNNNNNNNNNNNNNNNNNNNNNNNNNNNNNNNNNNNNNNNNNNNNNNNNNNNNNNNNNNNNNNNNNNNNNNNNNNNNNNNNNNNNNNNNNNNNNNNNNNNNNNNNNNNNNNNNNNNNNNNNNNNNNNNNNNNNNNNNNNNNNNNNNNNNNNNNNNNNNNNNNNNNNNNNNNNNNNNNNNNNNNNNNNNNNNNNNNNNNNNNNNNNNNNNNNNNNNNNNNNNNNNNNNNNNNNNNNNNNNNNNNNNNNNNNNNNNNNNNNNNNNNNNNNNNNNNNNNNNNNNNNNNNNNNNNNNNNNNNNNNNNNNNNNNNNNNNNNNNNNNNNNNNNNNNNNNNNNNNNNNNNNNNNNNNNNNNNNNNNNNNNNNNNNNNNNNNNNNNNNNNNNNNNNNNNNNNNNNNNNNNNNNNNNNNNNNNNNNNNNNNNNNNNNNNNNNNNNNNNNNNNNNNNNNNNNNNNNNNNNNNNNNNNNNNNNNNNNNNNNNNNNNNNNNNNNNNNNNNNNNNNNNNNNNNNNNNNNNNNNNNNNNNNNNNNNNNNNNNNNNNNNNNNNNNNNNNNNNNNNNNNNNNNNNNNNNNNNNNNNNNNNNNNNNNNNNNNNNNNNNNNNNNNNNNNNNNNNNNNNNNNNNNNNNNNNNNNNNNNNNNNNNNNNNNNNNNNNNNNNNNNNNNNNNNNNNNNNNNNNNNNNNNNNNNNNNNNNNNNNNNNNNNNNNNNNNNNNNNNNNNNNNNNNNNNNNNNNNNNNNNNNNNNNNNNNNNNNNNNNNNNNNNNNNNNNNNNNNNNNNNNNNNNNNNNNNNNNNNNNNNNNNNNNNNNNNNNNNNNNNNNNNNNNNNNNNNNNNNNNNNNNNNNNNNNNNNNNNNNNNNNNNNNNNNNNNNNNNNNNNNNNNNNNNNNNNNNNNNNNNNNNNNNNNNNNNNNNNNNNNNNNNNNNNNNNNNNNNNNNNNNNNNNNNNNNNNNNNNNNNNNNNNNNNNNNNNNNNNNNNNNNNNNNNNNNNNNNNNNNNNNNNNNNNNNNNNNNNNNNNNNNNNNNNNNNNNNNNNNNNNNNNNNNNNNNNNNNNNNNNNNNNNNNNNNNNNNNNNNNNNNNNNNNNNNNNNNNNNNNNNNNNNNNNNNNNNNNNNNNNNNNNNNNNNNNNNNNNNNNNNNNNNNNNNNNNNNNNNNNNNNNNNNNNNNNNNNNNNNNNNNNNNNNNNNNNNNNNNNNNNNNNNNNNNNNNNNNNNNNNNNNNNNNNNNNNNNNNNNNNNNNNNNNNNNNNNNNNNNNNNNNNNNNNNNNNNNNNNNNNNNNNNNNNNNNNNNNNNNNNNNNNNNNNNNNNNNNNNNNNNNNNNNNNNNNNNNNNNNNNNNNNNNNNNNNNNNNNNNNNNNNNNNNNNNNNNNNNNNNNNNNNNNNNNNNNNNNNNNNNNNNNNNNNNNNNNNNNNNNNNNNNNNNNNNNNNNNNNNNNNNNNNNNNNNNNNNNNNNNNNNNNNNNNNNNNNNNNNNNNNNNNNNNNNNNNNNNNNNNNNNNNNNNNNNNNNNNNNNNNNNNNNNNNNNNNNNNNNNNNNNNNNNNNNNNNNNNNNNNNNNNNNNNNNNNNNNNNNNNNNNNNNNNNNNNNNNNNNNNNNNNNNNNNNNNNNNNNNNNNNNNNNNNNNNNNNNNNNNNNNNNNNNNNNNNNNNNNNNNNNNNNNNNNNNNNNNNNNNNNNNNNNNNNNNNNNNNNNNNNNNNNNNNNNNNNNNNNNNNNNNNNNNNNNNNNNNNNNNNNNNNNNNNNNNNNNNNNNNNNNNNNNNNNNNNNNNNNNNNNNNNNNNNNNNNNNNNNNNNNNNNNNNNNNNNNNNNNNNNNNNNNNNNNNNNNNNNNNNNNNNNNNNNNNNNNNNNNNNNNNNNNNNNNNNNNNNNNNNNNNNNNNNNNNNNNNNNNNNNNNNNNNNNNNNNNNNNNNNNNNNNNNNNNNNNNNNNNNNNNNNNNNNNNNNNNNNNNNNNNNNNNNNNNNNNNNNNNNNNNNNNNNNNNNNNNNNNNNNNNNNNNNNNNNNNNNNNNNNNNNNNNNNNNNNNNNNNNNNNNNNNNNNNNNNNNNNNNNNNNNNNNNNNNNNNNNNNNNNNNNNNNNNNNNNNNNNNNNNNNNNNNNNNNNNNNNNNNNNNNNNNNNNNNNNNNNNNNNNNNNNNNNNNNNNNNNNNNNNNNNNNNNNNNNNNNNNNNNNNNNNNNNNNNNNNNNNNNNNNNNNNNNNNNNNNNNNNNNNNNNNNNNNNNNNNNNNNNNNNNNNNNNNNNNNNNNNNNNNNNNNNNNNNNNNNNNNNNNNNNNNNNNNNNNNNNNNNNNNNNNNNNNNNNNNNNNNNNNNNNNNNNNNNNNNNGAUUUUUGCAUGGAUUAGGAAAAGAUUUUGAUAACAAAAAGAAUCUAAGUCAUAGAUCCAAGCAUAAUCUUACCUUAGAUGAAGAAUUUUGUGGAAAUUUCCUCUUGAAUGCUUCCUAAAUUUCGAGAUCUUUAACUGGAGAGGGAGGAUUGUUCUUCAAGACUUAGAGAGUUUGGAAGAGAUUUUUGUGGUGUGUGUGUGUUUGCAUAUGGCCGAGAGUGAGAGAGAGGAGAGAAGAGAAGUGAUUUUGAAGUGAUGUUGCAUGGAAGAAUGAGAUAUAAUGCAUGGAUAUCCAAUGAAUAAAAAUGAGGUGGCAUGGUAAAGUCAACUCUCCUCUUGGGCUUGAUUUGGGCCGAAAACAUGGAGGAAAAAAAAGAAAUUUGGGCCUUUGCCCUUAAGCCCAAUAUUAGAGUUAAUCUUGGGUAUGUUUUAAGUCUAAAAGAAUGUGGUAGGAUUUUUAUAUUUUUAUUGGACUAGUUUAGGUUAUUCAUGUAUCAAGGCUUUUAAUUCAUUUCAUUCUAGGCCCAACAUGGCCCAAAAUGUUGAAAUAAAUUAGUGUGGGUCCAAUUAGAGCCCAAAUUAGGGUUCUAAGCCCAUGAUAGUCUAAUUGGAAGCUUAUUGGUUAGUCCAAAAUGGACUUAAACAAGGACUUCUAGGGUCUCCAAUUGUUUGAUGACUAUUUGUAGUACUUGUAUGAUGCAUUGGAUUUAAGUUUUUGAUUCACAUUAACUUGAGUGUAUAGAUUACAGGACACAAAAUUUCCAGUUGUGACAUGCAUGUACACUUAGGAAGUGUUAGAAUGCUCAAAACCCAUCAGUGGUAUCAGAGCCUAGGAUUGUUUUUUGUAUACUUGAUGCAAAACUGCUUAAAAAUCGAAAAAUCUGCUCACUGACGACUGGACUCGCCGAGUUCAUGGGGAGGACUCGCCGAGUCCAUGAACAAAUUCAUCAUACUCGUCGAGUAGGAUCAUGCACUCGACGAGUAGGAGCGUGCUGGGCAGUUUUUCGAGUUUUGUUGCUGGAAAUGGAUUAAAAUCAUUAUCCCAAUCUGUUUUGGACUUGUAAAAUCUAUUUUUCAAAGUGAUAAUGACUAUGUUAACCCAUUUUGCAUGACUUUUAUCAAUGUUCAAGUAUUGUAUAUGUUUAUAUANGCAUGUAUAUAGAGAAAACAUAGAUUCAAGGUUAUUAGGGUUGCAUUGUCACACCCCCGAACCAGACGGCGGAAAUNGAAGAGACUUGGAAUAGUUUCAAUUCUUGCCCUCAAGUUUUGGAAUUUGAAAAGUCUUACACUCUAAUACUUUAAUUCCAAAUUAAACCUUAGAUUUUUAAAAAGUUUAAAAAUCAACACUUAUACUAUUAUUAUAAUUUUAUUAUAUAGAUAUGUAUAAGAAUAUGUCGUUCUUACCGUUAGUAGGCCUCAUUCACGAAGCCGGUCUAUAAGGGGGGUAUAAGGUUGUUGCCUAUAAAAUGGUGACUUAAUGGGUGUCCACUCUCACCCACCGCUUCCUUGAUCGGUGGAGGGUCGUUAGCCGAACGGGUAGGAUAUGACUUUAAAUUCUCAUUAAAAGUAUAAUGAAUUAUAAAGUAACUAUACAUUAUAAAUUCCCAAUCUUAGUUACUUUAGGAAAAUGUGAAAUUGGUGCUAGCCCAUAAAAUUACACUUUGUACCUUACCAAGUCGUUAGUGGAGCGUGUGUGGUUAACCGGCACACUAACAUGGACAAGUAAGAGUGGCAAAAGGUGACUUGACUUCAUUAUAGAUCGGUGGAGCAUGUGUGGUUAACCGGCACAUCGAUUAGGUAAUAUUGUUAAGGGUACCAAGUCAAUUUGUAUGGUUAUUCACACCUUGUUUGUGAUCCUCGGCAUCCCAGUCACAAACUUGAGAGGGCACAUUCGAGAUUCAAACAUGCCAUUGAAAAGUUCAAUGUAUCUCAAAAGAUCUAGGAGUUUCAAAACCAAUAAAACCUAAUAAUAAAAUAUUUCGUUCUUAUGGUGGAAAUUGGUAAAUCGUCAUUUACCUACCUUCAAAUAUUUUAUAGUGUGGAUUACGGCAUCCCUCUUCCACCUAUAAAUAGUUUGUUGGAUCCUAGCCUUAAUAUUUCAUUUGGGUGACUUAUUAAGGAUUCUUAAUCUAAUGAAACUUGUCUUUCUUUCAGAUGUCUUCCAAUAACGCUGCUAGCUCAAACCCUACAAGCUCCUUUUCCCUAAUGAACUUGUGUGGUAAGGUCAUCUUUGAUGGAUCCAACUUUAAUGAGUGGAUCAGAAACAUCAGGAUGAUUACCCGCUAUGAGGACCAAGAAUAUGUCCUUGACAGGGAGCUUAAGGUUGUUAAUGAAGUCACUGCUACUCCUGAAGAGUUUGCAGAGUUCAUUGCACAUGAGAAGGAGGCCACCAAUGUGUCUUGCAUCAUAAUGGCCACAACCGGAACUCCAAAAAUCUUAUGAAGAUUUCUACCCCUAUGAGAUGCACCUAGAUCUGAUGGAAAGGUACCAUCAGAGCGCGCGUCAAGAGAGGUAUGAAAUCAUUUCCUCCAUGAUAACCGCAAGGAUGAAGGAUGGUGAACCCAUCACCGGUCACUUGCAGAAGAUGCAGAGGUUCGUUGACCGGUUGCUAAAGCUCAAUGUUGACUUCCCUGAGGAAUUGGCGAUUGACAUCAUUCUCCAUUCCUUACCUCCAAGUUAUGAUCAGUUUCGUAUGACUUAUCAUAUGAACAAGGAGGAAGUCACACUUAGCAAACUUCAAGGACUCUUAAGGACAGCUGAAAAUGGCCUUAAGGGUAAAGCGGUUGCUACUUCUACUCCUUUAACAGCCCCUGUUCUUGCAAUUGGGCAAGGGAAGGGUAAGAAGAGGAAAAGCCCUUCAAAGGGUACCAAGGGUAAGACUCUUGAUGGUUCCUCUUCAAGUGGGACAAAGAAAGGUCCCAUUACUCCUUCUUCGAACCCAAAGGAAGCACAGUGCUUCUAUUGCCAAGAUAAGGGACACUUCAAGCGAAGCUGCGCCAAAUAUCUGCAAGAUGUAAAGGAUGGGAAGGUUAAACCCACCCAUGCAGGUAUUUACACAAUAUUGUCUAACAACUCAUCUAAUGCUAAUUCUUGGGUGCUUGAUACAGGGUGUGGUAUUCACAUUUGUACUGAUUUGCAGGCACUAAGAAGAAGUGAGCAAGUGGAGCACGGGAAGAUAAACUUAGUCAUGGGCAACAGGAAAGCAUCACCUGUUACCAAGAUAGGAGUUUAUUCUUUAUUGCUUAAUAAUGGGUUAAUGUUAGAUUUGAAUAAGUGUUGUUACUCGCCCGAAAUGGCGAGAAAUAUUAUUUCUUUUCAUGGCUUGUACAAACAAGGUUUUACAUUUUCAUUUGAUAAUAAAAAUGGUGCUAUUAAUGUUUAUUACAAUGAUGUAUUUUACUUUAAAGCAAUACCUUGUGAUGGUGUAUAUGAAGCCGUGAAUGUUGUAGACAAUCUAGGAAAUAAUGUGUUGUAUAUUGAUUCUUCUGAUAGCUUGGAUAAAGCAUCCUUGUGGCAUUGUCGUCUUGGACAUGUUAGCAAGAAGCGCAUAGGCCAACUCCAAAAGGCUGGAGUCUUGGAAUCAUUUGACCUCAAGUCAGAUGAUAGUUGCGAGUCUUGUUUACUUGGAAAAAUGACAAAGUCACCCUUCACAGGUACUUGUGAUAGGGGUGAAGGUUUGUUGGACCUUGUACACACGGAUGUGUGUGGGCCCUUCAGAGUUGCUACAAGGGAUGCUAAUCGUUAUUAUGUGACUUUUACUGAUGAUUACAGUAGAUAUGGAUAUAUUUACUUAAUCAAGCAUAAGUCAGAAACCUUUGAAAAGUUCAAAGAGUUUAAGCAGGAAGUUGAGAAUCAAUUGGGCAGGAACAUCAAGAUGCUCCGAUCCGAUCGGGGAGGAGAGUAUCUUAGCAUUGAGUUCCUUGACUAUCUUAAGGAAUGUGGGAUUGUCUCACAAUUGACACCUCCCAGGACACCACAGUUGAAUGGUGUAGCUGAGAGGCGCAAUCGAACCCUGUUGGAUAUGGUUCGUUCCAUGAUGAGUCGAGCUUCGUUACCAAUCUCUUUCUGGGGGUAUGCCUUAGAGACUGCCGCCCAUAUCCUUAAUCUAGUCCCUACUAAAAAGGUUGCCAAAACACCUCACGAGAUGUGGACUGGGAAAGUGCCCAAUUUGGACCACAUCAAGAUUUGGGGUUGUGAAGCUUUUGUGAGGCGUGAGACUCAUGACAAGCUUGAACCCCGAAGCGAGAGGUGUAUUUUCAUCGGCUACCCACAGAGAUCCUUUGGUUACCUCUUCUACAGACCCAGUGAUAAUGUGGUCUUUGUAGCAAGAAGAGGAGUCUUUCGUGAGAGAGAAUUCAUAAGCCAAGGGGACAGUGGGAGGCAAAUUGACCUUGAAGAACUUCAAGAGUCAAGUGGUGAAGGAACCUCAAAUGAUGUCAGCCAACAUGAGGAGGAGACUCCUGUUGAGCCGAUAGAUGAAUCUGUACCUCCAAUACGUUCCAUUAGGGUCAGGAACACACCUGAUUUUUAUUAUGGUUAUCACAUCACCACUGAAGGUGAUACAUUUAUCAGUGAUAGUACACUGAUAGAUUUGGAUGAACCUAAUAAUUAUAAGGAAGCCAUGGCAGGCCCUGAGUCUGCGAAAUGGAAGGAGGCUAUGGACAGCGAGAUUCAGUCCAUGUAUGACAAUCAAGUUUGGAACUUGGUUGACAAUGUACCAGGUCGUAAGACAGUUGGGUGCAAAUGGAUCUUCAAGAAGAAGACCGACAUGGAUGGGAAAGUACACACUUAUAAAGCGCGACUGGUUGCGAAGGGCUUUACUCAAACUCCGGGAGUUGACUAUGAUGAGACCUUCUCACCAGUAGCUAAGAUUAAGUCUAUUAGAGUGUUGUUAGCCAUAGCUGCAUUUCAUGACUAUGAAAUAUGGCAAAUGGAUGUCAAAACCGCUUUCCUUAAUGGGAAGUUGGCUGAGGAUGUUUACAUGGCUCAGCCAGAGGGUUUUGUCGAUCCAAAAUACCCUAAUAGAGUGUGUAAGCUUGAAAAAUCCAUUUAUGGAUUGAAACAAGCAUCUCGCAGGUGGAAUCUUUGCUUUGAUGAGAAAGUCAAAGAGUUUGGCUUUUCUAGGAGUGAGGAUGAGUCUUGUGUGUAUGUCAGGGCUAGUGGGAGCAUAGUUAGCUUCUUGGUGUUGUAUGUGGAUGACAUACUUCUCAUAGGAAACGACAUCCCAACUUUGCAGGAGGUUAAGGCCUGGCUUGGGAAGUGUUUUGCUAUGAAGGACCUUGGGGAAGCUGCCUAUAUCCUAGGGAUAAGGAUAUUGAGAGAUAGGAGUAAGAGACUAAUUGGACUUAGUCAAAGUACUUAUGUGGAUAAGGUACUGAAGAGGUUCAGUAUGCAAGAUUCCAAGAAAGGAGAAUUACCAAUCCAGAGUAAUGCCAAGCUAAGUAAGACUCAGAGUCCGAGUACAGAGGCUGAGAUAGCUGAAAUGAGUCAGAUACCAUAUGCUUCCGCUGUGGGCUCGAUCAUGUAUGCUAUGACUUGUACUCGCCCUGAUGUGGCCUUUGCUUUGAGCAUGGUCAGUAGAUAUCAAGGGAACCCUGGCAAGGCACACUGGACAGCGGUAAAGAACAUUCUCAAGUAUUUGCGGAGGACUAAGGACUGGGUCCUUACCCUCGGAGGCAGUGAUGACUUGAGAGUGGAAGGAUAUAGUGAUGCUAGCUUUCAAACUGAUAGGGAUAAUUUCCGCUCUCAGUCAGGCUGGGUCUUUAUCCUAAAUGGAGGAGCAAUUACUUGGAAAAGUUCCAAGCAGGAGACAGUAGCUGAUUCAACUUGUGAAUCAGAGUACAUAGCAGCAAGCGAGGCAGCAAAAGAGGCGAUAUGGCUAAAGAACUUCAUCGGAGACCUUGGAGUUGUACCAGCUAUAAAGGAGCCAAUGGAAAUUUUCUGUGACAGUGAAAGUGCGGUUGCUUUGGCGAAAGAACCAAGAGAUCACGGGAGAUCUAGGCACAUUGACAGAAAAUACCAUUUCAUCAGACAUAGAAUAGAAGAAGGACUCCUCGUGGCAAAGAGGGUAUCAUCAGAUGAGAACCCGGCAGAUCCCCUCACGAAGGGACUGAGCAGGGUUAAGCAUUUACAACAUGCGAGGUGCAUUGGGUUGAAGGAUGAUAUUAGUUUCAAUAAUUAGAUUCCUGAAACUUGUAAAAUGUAAUUUACAUUUGAUGAUAAAUAAAAGUUGUUGUUUAUUUAUGAGUAAGGUGUUACUAUCUUGUGUUGAUUGUUUACUAUGUUUCAAUUUUGCAUGUUUUUACUUCCAGAAUAAUUAUGUUAUUAUUCAAACCAUCCACAGUCAGUCAAACUUUGGAAGUAAGUAUUGAUUUAAGACUGUCAUGAAUUUGGCUUUGUANUAUGAUUUGUCUAAAGUGCUUUAGACAAUGCAAUGGUUGCUACAACAUUCUUGAGUACUCAUAAGGGCUGAGUAUUGGAUUCAACCCACGCUCACUUGCAUCACUUCAUGGAAUUCAUCUCGAGUCAUCGUUAGACAACAAUAUCAUAUAAAUCUUCAAACCUAGAGAUAUGAGUUGUUGACUAUGAGUUGGUUAUUCAUUGAUUGUACGAAACCGCAUUGGUAACUCGAUGUUAUAAAAUGUGCCUUUGUGAGUAAUUCAACAAGUAGUUAGUACAAGAAUAUCAGCCGAAGUUUAUCUGUUCCUUCUAGAAAUAGAAGCGAUAUCUGGGCCCCUCGAUGAUUUGGUUUUGACCUAUGUACCAGGCCCGAUCAGAACCUGAUAUGUGCAUAAUUAGUUAAUUAUUUAGCAUACAUUUUUAUUCAUUUUUAACUAAUUAUGUGUAUAAUGUGGACAAAAGGUACUUAAUAAUGUUUAAAUUUUGAUUUCAGUCCAAAAGACAUGCUUGGGAGUGAAAGGGAAUGAGGGGAAGAAAUUAGAGACCAAAGAAUGAAGAAUGAGGGACAAAAGCCUUCCUACUCUGCGAGUUCACGAGCCUACUCGGCGAGUUCAUUAGAAUAUUCUAGAAGAUAAGUCAAGACUCCUGGUAUGACACGGAUAACUAANAAGAGACUAAUUGGACUUAGUCAAAGUACUUAUGUGGAUAAGGUACUUAAGAGGUUCAAUAUGCAAGAUUCCAAGAAAGGAGAAUUACCGAUCCAGAGUGAUGCCAAGCUAAGUAAGACUCAGAGUCCGAGUACAGAGGCUGAAAAUAGUUGAGAUGAGUCAGAUACCAUAUGCUUCCGCUGUGGGCUCGAUCAUGUAUGUUAUGAAUUGUACUCGCCCUGAUGUGGUCUUUGCUUUGAGCAUGCUUAGUAGAUAUCAAGGGAAUCUUGGCAAGGCACACUGGACAGCGGUAAAUAACAUUCUCAAGUAUCUGCGGAGGACUAAGGACUGGGUCCUUACCCUCGGAGGAAGUGAUGACUUGAGAGUGAAAGGAUAUAGUGAUGCUAGCUUUCAAACUGAUAGGGAUAAUUUCCGCUCUCAGUCAGGAUGGGUCUUUAUCCUAAAUCGAGGAGCAAUAACUCGGAAAAGUUCCAAGCAGGAGACAGUAGCUAAUUCAACUUGUGAAUCAGAGUACAUAGCAGCAAGCGAGGCAGCAAAAAAGGCGAUAUGGCUAAAGAACUUCAUUGGAGACCUUGGAGUUGUACCAGCUAUAAAGGAGCCAAUGGAAAUUUUCUAUGAAAGUGAAAGUGCGGUUGCUUUGGCUAAAGAACCAAGAGAUCACAGGAGAUCUAGGCACAUUGACAGAAAAUACCAUUUCAUUAGACAUAGAAUAGAAGGACUCCUCGUGGCAAAGAGGGUAUCAUCAGAUGAGAACCCGGCAGAUCCCCUCACGAAGGGACUGAGCAGGGUUAAGCAUUUACAGCAUGCAAGGCGCAUUGGGCUGAAGGAUGAUAUUAGUUUCAAUAAUUAGAUUCCUGAAACUUGUAAAAUGUAAUUUACAUUUGAUGAUAAAUAAAAGUUGUUGUUUAUUUAUGAGUAAGGUGUUACUAUCUUGUGUUGAUUGUUUACUAUGUUUCAAUUUUGCAUGUUUUUACUUCCAGAAUAAUUAUGUUAUUAUUCAAACCAUCCACAGUCAGUCAAACUUUGGAAGUAAGUAUUGAUUUAAGACUGUCAUGAAUUUGGCUUGUAUGAUUUGUCUAAAGUGCUUUAGACAAUGCAAUGGUUGCUACAACAUUCAUGAGUACUCAUAAGGGCUGAGUAUUGGAUUCAACCCACGCUCACUUGCAUCACUUCAUGGAAUUUAUCUCGAGUGAUCGUGAGACGGUAAUAUCAUAUAAAUCUUCAAACCUAGAGAUAUGAGUUGUUGACUAUGAGUUGGUUAUUCAUUGAUUGUACGAAAACGCAUUGGUAACUCGAUGUUANCUGGGUUAGAUUGGAGUUGUCAUAUGUGAUUCUAAUAUGUUUAAAAUUCAGUUUUGCUUGGGGGCAAGCAAAAGUCAAGUGUGGGGUAUUUUGAUAUGUGCAUAAUUAGUUAAUUAUUUAGCAUACAUUUUUAUUCAUUUUUAACUAAUUAUGUGUAUAAUGUGGACAAAAGGUACUUAAUAAUGUUUAAAUUUUGAUUUCAGUCCAAAAGACAUGCUUGGGAGUGAAAGGGAAUGAGGGGAAGAAAUUAGAGACCAAAGAAUGAAGAAUGAGGGACAAAAGCCUUCCUACUCUGCGAGUUCACGAGCCUACUCGGCGAGUUCAUUAGAAUAUUCUAGAAGAUAAGUCAAGACUCCUGGUAUGACACGGAUAACUAACAUUUACUCGGCGAGUUGGGUCUGCUACUCGCCGAGUACACCCUGUUUUGUGAUAAUUAUAAAUACCAAACUAUUAUCUGAUUGGAAGGACUUCUGACGUUUUUGGAGCUUCAUCUGCGAUUGAAGAACCCUUGGAGGAGCUAAGGAACCCUAAUCUUCAAUCCCUUGAAGAAUCAAGGCAAUUAGGUUAAUCAUUCCACUUAGCUUUAGGAAUUAAGUAUGUUUAGCUUAGUUAAAUUUGUUUUUGUGUUUGUUUUUACUGCAACUAUGAACUAAAUUCGUUUUUGUUUCUGUUUGGGGAAUACCAAGUAACUCCUAUGGUUUAAUUCUUAGCUUUUGAUUGAUUGUUUAUUGGUGAUUUAUUAAAUUAAGUUUGUUAAAGAACCUUAUGCAUUAAUCACAACUAUUUUCUGUUAAUUGGAAGAUAAUUAAGCUGCAUAAACAUCUCUUAGUUGUUAACCUCAUAUGUCUAUGUGAACACUUAAUCAUAUGCUUAGGAAUAAUGAAUAUGAAACUAAGAUUAACAAGAGAAUGGGUAAAUUAAUGUGUGAGCUUGUUUGAGAAACCAACAAACAAGAGGUUAAUUGAAUCGCCAAUUUGAUUAACCAAUUACAAAUCUUAUUUAAUCCAAAUAAUUAAUCUAGGGAAUUAAUUAGUUUAAACACUUGAUCACUGCUUGAAUUAAUUGAUUGUCUAAGGGUUAGUAGUAAUGAACAUGAACCUAACCACUAUAGUUGAUAGCCAAUAGCAAUUAAUCUAUCAUAAAUUCAAAAUAACCAUAGGAGUGAAUUGGUUGAACCUAAAUAGAAACAUCUUAUUCAAAUUUGGUGAAUCAGUUACUUGCUUUAGUUAUUUAGUUAAUUAAGUGUUUAAGUUGUGUGUUUAAGUUUCUAGUCUUGCAAAACUAGAGAAAAACCCUUUUUACUUUCAUUAUUUGCUUAGUCAAAAUUAGUUAUUAGGUUAAUUUCCGUUCCCUGAGUUCGACACCCUACUAAUCCAACUAUACCACUAAAAGACAGGUUCACUGCCUUUGUGUGCUAAAUUUAUUAAUUAAAAGUAGGAAUAAAAUAAGUGCAUUUUACACACAUCAAGUUUUUGGCGCCNUUUGCACACAUUAAGUUUUUGGCGCCGUUUCCGAGGAACGGUUCUAAAUAAUUAAUCUAAUCCCUAAUUUUUUCGAUCCUUUGUGUGAGUUUACUGGCAUAAAGUUAAUUUAUUGCAAUUUAGUAGUUAGUAAUUAGGUGUUAGCAUCUGUUUUAGUUUUAAUAUUAAGUUUAGUUUUUUUUUUUUUUUAAAUUUCACUGUUACUCGCCGAGUGCAUUCGCACCUACUCGGUAAGUAUAAGUGUAUUUUGCAGUUAAUUUUCGUUUUUUUUAGUUGCAUUUUUUGUUCUUUUUACGUUUUUAUCUUGUUCUAUUUCAGGACUUUCAUGACCAGAGGAUCAAACAUUCCGCUGGUACCCCCGUUUGAAGACCCCGAAUCCGCAUUAAAAAGGAACAAAGGAAAGGACGUGGAGAGCUCGAGUACACCCAAGAAGUCACCUUUGUCUAACGUGAAGACUAUUUUUGGGAAGAAAAAGAGCAGCAAAGCAGGUCCAUCCAGCGCAUCUUUAGCAAGUGAAGAACCGAUCAAGGAAGACACCGAGUACGACACCGAGGAGGAAGAAGAACUUACAUACGGGCACGACUCCGAUUCCGGCGACGAGUUAGCUCUUACCAUGGCUAACAUUGAUGAAAUCCCCAUAGGGGAAUGGAAGAAGAGGAUACGCGAUGACACUGGCCCGGGACUUGUGCAACCCGCAAUUCCCGCGACUGCUACUUUUGAGCUCAAGGGUCAUAUCCUAGCAUUACUUAAAGAAAUACCUUUCUAUGGAAAAGACCACGAAGAUGCCUACAAGCAUUUGGAUGAAGUCAAUGAUGUAGCUAAUUACUUUAAUGUUCCAAAUGUGCCUCGUGAGACUCAGCUGCUUCGCAUGCUUCCAGUGACAUUCAAAGGCGCUGCAAAAGACUGGCUCAAAUCACUUCCCCCCUGAUCAGUCACCACAUGGGCCAAGAUGAAGGAAGAAUUCAUUGAUCACUUUUUCCCACCUUCCAAGAUAGCCAAGUUGAAGAAGGCCAUUGCUAACUUUGAACAACAAGUUGGAGAGUCGCUAUAUGAAGCUUGGGAGAAGUAUAAAAAGUUUGCUACGAAAUUGCCCACACCAUGACCUCAAUAGCCAGCAAGAAGUCUUCGUCUUCUAUGAUGGAGUCAAUGUCACAACCAGACAGUUAUUAGACUCGCAAGGCCCGCUCACAAAGAAGCCACCCCCGAUGAUCAAGGAAUUGAUUGAAGAAUUCUCUAAACACUCUAGAGAAUACCACAACCCUAGAAAUGAUGUUACUAGGGGAGCCGCAUAUGCAGCUACUGAAGACUUAUCCGUUGUCAUGGCUAUGAUAAAAACCAUGGAUAAGAGGAUGGAUAAAAUGGAUCAAACGAUCCAUACUAUUCAGGUGGGUUGUGAAAACUGCAAUGGGCCUCAUCUUGCUAGAGAUUGCGACUUGGAUGAGAAUGACAACAAGAAGGUGCAAGUAUGUUACUCAAGUGAGGACCGAUAUGAUGAAGACUGACGCAAACAAAAGAAAGAGUGGCUCCCUUAUGAAGAGUACAUGAAGGCCAAGGAGGAGAAGUUCAGGCAAAAAGGAAGAGGUUUCUACCAAAAGGAGGAGCCGGUACAAGAGAGAAAGCCAAGCUUGGAAGAGAUGCUUACCAAAUUUGUGGCUGCUUCCAAAAAAGACAUAGUGAUCAUGAUGCUGCAAUUCAAGAAACAAGAACCAUGCUAAGGAACCAGCAAGCAUCUAUCCAUAAUAUAGAAACGCAGCUUGGGCAACUUGCUCAACAAAUCAACCAAAGAUCACCGGGCGAACUUCCUAGUAAAACCGAAAAUAACCCACGAGGCGCGCACAUAAAUAUAGUUACAACAAGAAGUGGGAAAAUAAUCACUCCCUUGGCCCCUAUUCAGACUGAAGCAUCAAAGGAAUCACAGAAGGAGGAGGCAGAAAAUCAAGCAGAAAAUCAAAAUCUUCAAUCUAACAGCUCUACUCGCCGAGUACCAAAUAUGGACUCGGUGAGUACACUGCCAAAUCCGAAGGAACAGGUCCCUGAAAAGUUGUAUCAACCUCCAAUGUCAUACCCAACCCGAGCUAAGAAGGAGAAGCAGGAAGAGGAGUACCAGAAGUUUCUAGAUCAUAUCAAGGCUCUUCAAAUCAACAUACCCUUCAUUGAAGUUGUCAUACAAAUGCCCAAAUAUGCAAAGUUCCUUAAGGAACUUCUCAUUAAUAGAAGGAAGAUGGAGGAAGUGAAGAAGGUAGUCCUCAAUGAAAACUGCUCAGCUGCUAUGCUAAAUAAGCUACCAAAUAAGAAGGGUGACCCGGGGAGUUUGACUUUACCUUGCCAAUUUGGCAACUUGGCUACCAUUCAUGCCUUAGCCGAUUCAGGAGCAAGUGUGAACCUAAUGCCAUAUUCAUUCUUCAAGAAGUUGGAUCUCCCAGAACCAAGGCCAAUUCGCAUGGCAAUUCACUUAGCAAACAAGACAGUCACUUUUCCACGAGGCAUAUGUGAAGACUUAUUGGUCAAAGUGGACAAGUUUGUAUUUCCUACUGAUUUCAUCAUUCUAGACAUGGAGGCGGAUCCCCAAGUCCCAAUCAGCCUUGGAAGACCCUUCCUCAACACGGCAAGUGCUAUAGUAGACAUGAGGGACUCGAAGCUGACCUUGCGGGUAGGAGAAGAUUCAGUCACAUUUGGGGUAGAUCAAGCUAUGAAGUAUGCAAGGAACAGUGACGACACAACGUUCUCAAUUGACAUGCUUGAUGAGUUAUUGGAGGAAUGCAUAAGCGAAGAUUCCAGCAAGUUCAAAAUUUAUGAUGAAGAAUUUGAUCCAGAAAAAGACUUAAUAGAGAUUGAAAGGCUGCUGGAAGAAGCUGAGUUUGAAGAAUUGGUGAAGCAAGCUGACAGCUCUACUCGCCGAGUAGGGCUGAUAUACUCGCCGAGUUCCUCCUUAGAAAAGGCAGAAUUUGUAAAUGCAGCCACAAACUCGUCGAGUACCUUACCUGCACUCAGCGAGUCCAACAGUCGAUUCCAAAAAUCUGAGCUCAAAACGUUACCAGAACAUUUGGAGUAUGCUUUCCUUGAAGAGGGCAACCAAAAGCCAGUAAUCAUAGCCUCUGACCUUGAAGAGGGCAACCAAAAGUGUUGAAGAAGCGGAAGCGGGCCACAACAUGGAGCAUCACCGACAUCAAGGGAUUGAGCCCAUCCUAUUGCUCUUACAAGAUCAAUCUGGAAGAAGGAGUAAAGCCGGUUUUAUAGCACUAAAGAAGAUUAAACCUGAAUAUGCAAGAAGUAGUCAAGAAGGAAGUUGUUAAACUCUUAGAUGCGGGAAUUAUAUAUUCCAUUUCCGACAGUCCGUGGGUGAGUCCGGUCCAAGUGGUGCCCAAGAAAGGAGGGAUGAUGGUCAUAACCAACGAAAAGAGCAAGCUAAUUUCGACACGAAUGGUAACCGGUUGGAGAGUGUGCAUCGAUUAUCAAAAGCUAAACGAUGCCACUCGUAAAGACCAUUUUCCCUUACCUUUUAUUGAUCAAAUGUUAGAAAGAUUAUCGAGCCAUAGUUACUAUUGCUUUCUAGACGGAUUCUUGGGUUAUUUCCAAAUACCCAUAGACCCAAUGGACCAAGAAAAGACCACAUUUACUUGCCCAAGUGGGACUUUUGCUUAUAGGCGCAUGCCCUUUGGGCUAUGCAAUGCACCCACGACUUUUCAAAGGUGUAUGACAGCCAUAUUCCACGAUAUGGUAGAAAAAUUCAUGGAAGUUUUUAUGGACGACUUUUCCGUUUUUGGAUCUUCUUUCCAUGAUUGUCUCACAAAUCUUGACUUAAUGCUUGCUAGGUGUGAAAAAACCGACUUGGUCCUCAACUAGGAGAAAUGUCACUUUAUGGUUGAGGAGGGUAUAGUGUUAGGCCACAAGGUUUCCAAAAUUGGAAUUGAAGUGGAUCGGGCAAAGAUUGACACCAUUGCCAAAUUACCCCCACCAACUAAUGUGAAGGGCAUUAGAAGUUUUCUAGGACACGCGGGUUUUUACCGGCGUUUCAUAAAAGAUUUUUCCAAAAUAACUAGACCUCUAACACAAUUACUAUUAAAAGAUGCACCAUUUAAUUUUACUAAAGAGUGUUUAGAGGCAUUUGAAUUUUUAAAGGAAAAAUUAACUAAUGCCCCGAUCAUUGUUGCACCAAAUUGGAGUUUACCCUUUGAAAUUAUGUGUGAUGCUAGUGACUUUGCAUUAGGAGCUGUCCUUGGUCUAAAGGUUGAUAAGCACUUUCGACCCAUAUAUUAUGCUAGCAAGACUCUAAAUCCAGCCCAAGAAAAUUACACCACCACGGAAAAAGAAUUAUUAGUUGUGGUGUAUGCUUUUGAUAAGUUCCGUCCUUAUUUAGUUUUAUCUAAAACAAUCGUUUUACUGACCACUUUGCUAUCAAGUAUUUAUUUGCCAAACAAGAUGCCAAGCCAAGACUGAUACAAUGGGUGCUACUUCUUCAAGAGUUUGACAUAGAGAUACGAGACAAAAAGGGGAUGGAGAAUGUAGCAGCUGACCACUUGUCAAGGCUUGAAAACCCGCAAUUGCACGAAGAUAGAGUUGGCGAUGAUUUUCCGGACGAGUAUAUUAUGGUGACCGUGGGAGAAGAACCAUGGUUUGCAAAUAUAGCUAAUUACUUAGCUAGCAAUUACAUCCCAAAAGAUCUCACAAGUCAACAAAAGAAGAAAUUCUUUUCCGAGAUAAAAUAUUACUUUUGGGAUGAACCAUAUCUUUUCCGAAGCUGCACGGAUGAGAUCAUACGAAGAUGCAUGUUCGGGAAUGAAAGCCAGAAAAUAUUAGAGCAUUGUCGUAGUGGGCCCACGGGUGGACAUCAUGGAGCACAUUACACUGCAAAGAAGAUCUUUGACAUUGGGUUCUAUUGGCCCACAAUUUUUAAAGAUGCAGCCCAAUUUGUCAAAGAGUGUGAUGCUUGUCAAAGAGUGGGAAACAUUUCAUCUCGAAAUGAAAUGCCACAACAUAGUAUCCAAGUGUGCGAGGUAUUUGAUGUGUGGGGGAUCGACUUCAUGGGACCAUUUCCCAUGUCUAAAGAAAACAAAUACAUAUUGGUGGCGGUGGAUUAUGUAUCCAAAUGGGCGGAGGCACAAGCGUUACCAACUAAUGACGGUCGGGUAGUGGUGCGGUUUUUAAAGAAGUUAUUUUCACGAUUUGGAGUCCCGAAAGCUCUUAUAAGUGACCGAGGCACGCAUUUUGCCAAUGAUCAACUAUAGAAGGUGCUAAGGAAAUAUGGGAUAACCCAUAAAUUUUCUACAUCCUACCAUCCACAAACUAGUGGACAAACCGAAGUGACAAAUCGAGCUUUAAAGCGAAUCUUGGAGAAAUCGGUGGGGAGCAAUCGCAAAGAAUGGUCGGAUAAGCUAGACGAUGCACUUUGGGCUUUCCGUACAGCUUUCAAAACCCCUAUUGGUACUACACCAUAUAGGUUAGUUUAUGGAAAGCAAUGUCAUUUGCCGGUGGAGAUAGAGCAUAAAGCUUUUUGGGCUUUAAAGAUGUGAAACUUCAACAUGGAGGAACUCAAGAGCAGCCGGUUAAUGUAAAUGAAUGUUCUUGAGGAACUUAGAAAUGAUGCAUACUCUAGUUCGUUGAUCUAUAAAGAGAAGACCAAGAUGUGGCAUGUCAAGAGGAUAAAAGAAAAUAAAGAAUUUCAUGAAGGCCAAAAAGUGUUGCUCUUUAAUUCACAACUAAAGCUAUUCUCGGGAAAACUCAAUUUAAGAUGGGAUGGUCCUUUUCUGGUAAAGACGGUGUUUCCACAUGGUGCUAUAGAGCGAUUGUCAAGAGAUGGAACACCUUUCAAGGUCAAUGGACAUAGGGUCAAAAAGUAUAAAGAAGGAGUCCCCAGGAAUGAAGGUAUGGAAGAAUUGUUGUUGCUGGAGGGAAUUGAAACCACGUAAAAGGGGAGGAGUCCGGCUAAUGACUCCUUAAAAAGAAGCGCUUCUCGGGAUGCAACCCGAGUCUCAAGUUUGCAUUUUCUUUCCUUUCCUUUAUUUUUAUUUUUAUUUUAUCUUUUUCAUUCGUCUUCUUCUAAGAAUAUAAUUGCUUGAGGGAAAGCAAUGCCUAGAGAGUGGGGUGGAUGGUUAAAAAUGAGAAAAUACAUUAAUUUUUCAAAACAUUCAAAUUUUUUUCAAACUGCAAGGAUUACUCACUGAGUAGGCACGUAUACUCGGCGAGUACCUGCCCAAGUAACCCAAUAAACGCAUAACAGCAGUUCUACUCGGCGAGUAGCCAACUUACACAGAUGGUUUAUAAUCUGUAAAAUAAGGGUUUUCUCCCAUUUAACCUAUACACUCGCCGUGCACGGCAUCCUUCAAGCAUUCUCUGUGAUUUCUUCAAUUUUCCACUUAAUCUUCGUCUUUCAAAGGAAAAGGUAAGAUCUUUACACUUAAAACUCAUCAAAGGUUCAAGCUUUAUCAUUGAUUUGCCCUUAUUUUGCUUAAAUUCGGAUUUGGGGGUUUCCUCAGAUUCUAGGGUUCUAACUUUGCCAUGAAUUAGGUAAUGUUAGGAGAAAUUUCUUUUGGAUUUAUGGUUAUUUGACUUAAUACAGCAAACCCCUAUGAAAAAUUAGGAGUUUUGGACAGCCUAUAUAUGAUCGACGAAUUUUGGUCCCGAUGUUCAUCCUACUCGCCGAGUAGGUCGUGUACUCGGAGAGUAGGAGGCUAUACAGAACUGUUUUAUUCGAUUUUAAUUACUGGGUGUUGUUUGUUUGUGCUUUCUUAAUGUUGUUAUGCAGGUACCAUGUCCAGAAGGGGUCAGUCUUCACGAGGGGGAAGCCAAGAGGACAUCCCAUGGCUCUCGUUCCGUCAAAUUACAUCCAAAUCGUCUCAUUCCCGUGCAAAGAACAAGUUGGAGGCGCUGAAACAGAAGGAGAUUCAUUUACCCAACGCUGUUGACUGGUAUUGGUUGGGAAAAGUGGGUUUGGAGGAGGAGCUCACACCAUAUUUGGUGAAGGAGUGCAACUUGGGGGAUACCACCAUCAUAUGUGAUGGUUGGUUGCAGUUAUUCAAGCUACAAGAACCUGUUUAUGCUGAACUGUGUUGGGAAUUUUUUGCUACCAUCUCAUUCCGAGGUGGUAGUGAGUAUUACAACCCCAACAUAAUUUCUUUUUCUCUUGGUGGUGAGCUGCGACAAUGCAGCAUGGCUGAAUUUUCCUGGAGGCUGAGGAUUUAUGAUUAAAACACUAUGCUGACUGAGGAUUUUGAAGCCUUUCUGGGAAACUGCCAUAAGGAUCUUCCCGAGGCAGUGGUUGCCUCUACCUGGUGGAAUACUAUUGCCAACCGGGUGUAUAAUCCUUCUACCGCUCAGGAGGGUCAUAUUCGCUCGCCGAUCCAUCAUCUUAUUCACCACUUCGUGGCCAACACGAUCAACAUGUUGAAGGAUUAGGACAAGGUUCCAACCCUUGAUACCUUCUAUCUUUGGAGUAUUAUUACUCCCGACGUUUUCUGCAACAUCCCCUAUUGCAUAGCUAAGUUUCUUGCGGAAGGGGCUGUUAAGGAGAAGAUCAACUCCAAGAUCAAUGGAGGGAUGUUUGUGACGAGGUUGGCGAGGUCGUUUUGGGUCUUAGAUUUGCAAGAAGCAAGAGCGCUCACGGUCAUUUAUNUAUCCCCCCCCGUUCAACACUGCAUUAUAUAGGAGGGCACGGAUCGUGGAGAAGUUUGGUGAUUCCUUUUCCAUUCCACAUGCGGAUGAGCCGGCAAUCCUCGAGGAGUCAGGAAGGCGGGUAAGGCAACGUAGCGAGCGGGUACAAGAAGACCCACCGGUUAUUCCGGUGGAGGAGGACAACGAUGGGUGGAAUCAAGUGGAGUACCGACGCUAUUUGGACGAUAUUGGAAGAGGAGUAAACUAUAAUAAUCAAUCUUUUGAAUACCUCUUCCAACAAAUGAACAUUGCACCAAGACCCGGACCCAGCUAUCCAUACAUUAUGAGUUGGGAAGAAAGAAUGAGGAGAAGAAAUAAAGAAGGAGGAAGCGGAGCUGGAGGAGCCGAUAUGGAAGAAGAAGAUUGAGGACUUUAUUUUUAUGUUUUAUGUUUUUAUGGUGUUUUGUUUUGAACAAUUGUUAAAACUUGGAUGAUUUUUGUUUUUUUUAGGAUUUUUAUUGCUUUCACUUUUAGUUGCUUAUUUUUCAGGGAUGGAAGGUUAGGAACCAUAAUAAAGUGUCAAGGGUCAAGUAAGGAAUGAGAGAUGUUCAAGAAAAAGUACGAAGUAUUGUCCUUAGGAUUGAGUCCGUUAGAGUCGAGAGUAAUGGAGGGUGUUGCUGCUGAAGGGUUUAGAGAAAGGGUCAGUGAAAUUUCCAAUUUCAAAACCUGAGUCAAAAGGAACACGAGUUGGAUCAGUUUUGGAAAUAUAGUGCCUACUCGCCGAGUGCACAAAUUCUACUCGGCGAGUACAUGGGUCAUUACACGUUAUAGUUCCAAGAUAAGAGACACUCGCCGAGUACACGGCAAUACUCGCCGAGUAGACUUGCAAUUUUCGAGUUCCAGAGCUGUUUUGAGCAUUUUCAUUGCAAUACUUGUCCGUUUUUCGUGAAGAAUUGUUACUGAAGAUUUCUAAGAAGUUUUUCCCUUGAUAUUUUCGAGCUGUCAACCACACGAGACGAAUGACACCCAAGACAUGGAUGAGCUGUUCCCAUGUCUAAAGUCAAAUGAAGAUGGAGCUGAAAAGAAGAGUUAUCAACCUAUCGACUGCUACCCCAGGGGAGUUUGUUCCAAUUCUCUCUAUAGUUUGCAUUUUUAUUUUUGCAUGAUAUGCAAUGAGGGCAUUGCAUAAAAUAAGUGUGGGGUAGGGGGUUGGUCACAUAUUAUUAAAUCUAGAAUCUUAAUUUGUGCUAAUUUUAAAAAAAUUUGCAUACCAAGAAUAUGAAUUAGGAAUUAAUUUAGAAAAUUUUGGUAAAAAUAAUAAUUAGGAUUCCGUGUUAGAAUUGUAUGGAUAAUUGCAUGAAGACCCAAAUAUUUAGUUGAGCCAAUAUAUGUUAUAAUGUAUUUGUGGCCUCCCUUAUUCUAGUAAAAUCAUGGGACAAAAACACAACCUUGCUUAGCCCGAGGGAUGCAAUAUGUUUAGCAUCGUGUACUUGAAAUGUAUCCAGGAAAAUUGUUAUUUUAGCCAAUAAAUGUUGAAGUUGAGCGCCCCUGCUUAAGCAUGUAGGGCUUUGAGUGAAAAAAAAGUGAGAUACAUGUUAAAAAAAGAGAAUUACAAGAAGAGUUUGAAGAGUUUUGAAGCUUUCAAAGUGGAGAUCAAAAGAUUGAAAAUUCUGAAAAUUAAAAUUUUUUGAAGAUACCAAAGAUCAAGAAGAUAGUGAAUUCAAAGAAAUCAAGAUCAAAUGCCAAGAAGUGAAGAAUUCCAAAGAACUCUAGUGUGGUAUCAUGUAUUGUAAUUCUAGACUAUGUAUGCUUGGGUUGCUCAAUCAAAAAUACCUUGAGGAUAAGAGGUUUUCUAGGGAUGGAUUCGGAGGGAUGCAUAAAAUGAGCAUUGUUCGGGAAAAGUGGGUGAAUGUUUAUAAGGAUUGUGAGUAUUUAGAGUAUGGGGGUAUUUAGGACAAUUUUAGACACCAAUGCAUGCGUUGCGGUCUUGGCAUAAUGGCUGGGUUAGAUUGGAGUUGUCAUAUGUGGUUCUAAAAUGUUAAAAUUCAGUUUUGCUUGGGGGCAAGCAAAAGUCAAAUGUGGGGUAUUUUAAUAUGUGCAUAAUUAGUUAAUUAUUUAGCAUACAUUUUUAUUCAUUUUUAACUAAUUAUGUGUAUAAUGUGGACAAAAGGUACUUAAUAAUGUUUAAAUUUUGUUUUCGGUCCAAAAGACAUGCUUGGGAGUGAAAGGGAACGAGGGGAAGCAAUUAGAGACCAAAGAAUGAAGAAUGAGGGACAAAAGCCUUCCUACUCUGCGAGUUUACGAGCCUACUCGGCGAGUUCAUUAGAAUAUUUUAGAAGAUAAGUCAAGACUCCUGGUAUGAGACGGAUAACUACCAUUUACUCGGCGAGUUGGGUCUGCUACUCGCCGAGUACACCCUGUUUUGUGAUAAUUAUAAAUACCAAGCUAUUAUCCCAUUGGAAGGACUUCUGACGUUUUUGGAGCUUCAUCUGCGAUUGAAGAACCCUUGGAGGAGCUAAGGAACCCUAAUCUUCAAUCCCUUGAAGAAUCAAGGCAAUUAGGUUAAUCAUUCCACUUAGCUUUAGGAAUUAAGUAUGUUUAGCUUAGUUAAAUUUGUUUUUGUGUUUGUUUUUACUGCAACUAUGAACUAAAUUCGUUUUUGUUUCUGUUUGGGGAAUACCAAGUAACUCCUAUGGUUUAAUUCUUAGUUUUUGAUUGAUUUUCUAUUGGUGAUUUGUUAAAUUAAGUUUGUUAAAGAACCUUAUGCAUUAAUCACAACUAUUUUCUGUUAAUUGGAAGACAAUUAAGCUGCAUGAACAUCUCUUAGUUGUUAACCUCAUAUGUCUAUGUGAACACUUAAUCAUAUGCUUAGGAAUAAUGAAUAUGAAAAUAAGAUUAACAAGAGAAUGGGUAAAUUAAUGUGUGAGCUUUUUUGAGAAACCAACAAACAAGAGGUUAAUUGAACCGCCAAUUUGAUUAACCAAUUACAAAUCUUAUUUAAUCCAAAUAAUUAAUCUAGCGAAUUAAUUAGUUUAAACACUUGAUCACUGCUUGAAUUAAUUGAUUGUCUAAGGGUUAGUAGUAAUGAACAUGAACCUAACCACUAUAGUUGGUAGCCAAUAGCAAUUAAUCUAUCAUAAAUUCAAAAUAACCAUAAGAGUGAAUUGGUUGAACCUAAAUAGAAACAUCUUAAUCAAAUUUGGUGAAUUAGUUGCUUGCUUUAGUUAUUUAGUUAAUUAAGUGUUUAAGUUGUGUGUUUAAGUUUCUAGUCUUGCAAAACUAGAGAAAAACACUUUUUACUUUCAUUAUUUGCUUAGUCAAAAUUAGUUUUUAGGUUAAUUUAUGUUCCCUGAGUUUGACACCAUACUAAUCCAAUUAUACCACUAAAAGACAGGUUCACUGCCUUUGUGUGCUAAAUUUAUUAACUAAAAGUAGGAAUAAAACAAGUGCAUUUUACACACAUCAGAACCUAAUUGAUGUGCUCAAUUUAGUUCUAUGUCGAAACAAAUUAGAGAUCGAGAAAAAAAUGUUGGACAAUAAGUAAGACCAUGUUCCAUGUGUUUGUCCGGCUGAUAUCAUGAGAACAGAGGAUUAUAUGAUCACUUAUCUUAAAUGGCGUAUCAUCAUCAUCUCAGUUCCGAGAGACUUUGAAAGAGCUACGAUUGCUAGUCGGAUUUUGAAGUCAUAUUUGCAAAUAUAGUUAUUAGACUUAUCCAAGUGGGAGACUGUUGGAUAUAGUGUCUAAGUCCAUAACUUUAUUUGGUAUGUACUUGACCCAACCCAGCAUGAUCCAUUUGGGUUGCAUGGCAUUGCAAUACUUGGAUAAACUAAAUGAGAGAAUGAGGCACUUGUGAUUAUUAAUAUAUUAUAAGCUCUAAUAUAUUAAUAAUAGUAUUAUUUAAUUAGUAUUGAUCAAAUAUUAAUUUGGUGAUCAAAGUGAGACUAAUUAAAUAUAUAGGGUUGAUUAUGACAAUCAUCAAUUAUUUUAUGGUGGAUUAAUGAUCCAUGGUUUAUGGGUUAUGGAUGUAACCAUUUGGAGCUCCAUGGAUAGUCCAUGGGAGUUACAAACCCAUGGGCCAUGAGAAAUGAAGAGUCAUGACAAUUAUGGGUCUUCAUGAUGAAACCCUAAUUGUGACACCACUAUAAAAGGACCCUUUGGCUAGCAAAAUCGGACCUAGUGUUACUAGAGAGGGCAUAACCGAUUUUUAAGUGUAAGAAUUAUUCUCUCAAGUUAUUCCAAGUUUUGUGGUGUUGUGUGAAGCAUUUGAGGCACGACAUUUGGGGUGCUAGGCUCACAUAGUCUUGAAGGAAUCCAAGCAACAACAAGGUAUGUAUUUCUAGUAGUUUUUAUGUUUUAUGUAAUCCCCAUGUCAUGCUAGUUAGGAAAUAACCUUGAAAAAGAAUUUUGCAUGUAUAUAGAGAAAACAUAGAUUCAAGGUUAUUAGGGUUGCAUGUACACUUAGGAAGUGUUAGAAUGCUCAAAACCCAUCAAUACAUUGUAUAAAACCUGUAUAGCAUGUUUAUUCAAUAUAUAUUCCAAAUAACAUAUGAGGCACAUACACAUAACACGUAUUUCAUAGAGAAUAAAUCAUAUCUAUGAGUCAGAAGAAAGUGAAUAUAAAUUCACACAUAUAACACAGAUAUAUACAUAUAACACGUAUUUCAUAUCAAAUACUUCAUAAUUAUGCAUUAGAAGAAAGUAACUACACACUCACUUGAUCAGAAGAUGAUCGGGCAGCACUACGGCUCUAAGAGUAGUAUUCUUCGGUGAAACCGGGAUCACUUUACACAACGGGCUUCUCGCUAGCAGAGCUUCAGCUCGGAAACUAUUUUCUUCUCAGGAUCUUCGGGCUUCGUGACUCGCUUUGGGUCUCGGGAUGCUAUUGGGGCUUUGGGGGUACUUCUUUGCAUGUAAAUCGAGGUAAUAUGAGUGAGAGGAGAGAAUUUGAGCAACCAAACUCUGCUGGCCCUUCAAAUCUAUUUAUAGGGCAAAGUUUUCAUUUUCCACGUCGUGGGUUUGGUCGUCAUUGCAUGCUUCAUCGCAAGUUGGGUCUAGGAGACUCCAGGAGGCGUCAAAAGACUUUCCAUGUCGUGGCACUGUUUGCCACGUCGUGGUGGCUGACAGUUUUGGGGUUUCGCGCCCCGAACUUUAGAAAUUCAUAACUUUUGCAUACGAACUCCGUUUUCGACAUUCGUUAUAUCGACGCGUAGGUGAGAAUAUGCUCUACAACUCUCGUUUAGACUCCAUUGGCUAACUUUGGCUUUAUUUUUAAUAUAUUAUAAAUAUAUUACUUUUAUAUUAUUUUUAGUAGGCCGGGACAGGAAAACUCCAAUAGAAAUUCAUAACUUCUUCAUCCGACAUCCAUUUUUGUCUGUCUUUUUACUGUUGGACUACUAUCGAAGAGAUCUUAGGUUCUCAUUUAGAUUUUUUCAGCUAAAAAUCACUCGAUCUCAUAUUCGAGUAUCCGGGUUGCAUACCGCUAAGUCGAAACUUCGGAAAAUAACUUCCUCAUACGAAGUCAGAUUUGGGCAUUCUUUUUAUGCACGCUCUCGGUAUAACGAAAUCUUCAAAUUUCGUUUAGAUUGCUAAGGAUAUAUAUCGCUCUAUCUUAAAAUUCAUAUUUUACGUCAUUCGGCGUCGUGUCGGUUCUGUCGCGAAACUUUGACAGAUCAAAACUUCUUCGUUAUAACUCGGAUUUCGACGUUCUUUAUAUCUCCGGAAUCCUUGUUUCGACCACUACAACUUUAUGUAAAGAUAUUAGGUUUAUCUCACACUUCAUUUUGACGCUUAUUUUAUUCUUAAUUCAAUUAAUACACACAACUAAACACAAAACACAUAAUACUCAAAUAAUACACUUCUAUUAUUUCAAAACGGGUUACAAAGGUUAACCUAGACUAUUAUAUUAACAUUAAUGACAAGCCCAGAAACACAAGCGUUACACUUUCCACCUUCAAGAUAUAAUGGAAACAAAGGACUAUGUGGUCCUCCCCUUACCAAAAAAUGUCAUGGAGAUGAAGAAUCAGAAUCACCACCCAUCAUUGGUAAAAGUAAGGGUGAUGGGGAAGACACAGAUGAUGAACUCAUGAGAUUGUUUUAUGUUGGUGGGGGCAUGGGUUUUGCUACUGGAUUUUGGAUUACAUGUGGGGCUUUCCUUGUCAACCGUCGAGGGAGACAUGCAUUUUUUCAUCUUUUUGAUAGCUUCAAAGAUUGGGUUUAUGUGAAGGUGGUUGUGUUCGUUUCAAGUUUGCAAAAGGCUAGACAGAUGUAAUUUGUUAUCUAAUUCUUAUUUUUGACUUCUUAUUUCCCAGUAUAGAAUGUAAUAUGGUAGUGGUUUUUAAUCCCCCAAUAUCAAUAAAUUAAGACUACUUUUGGCGCAUUUUUGUGACUUGGUAGUCGGUAAUUAAGUGCGCUUUAUUUAUGUUUAAUUAAAAAUGAGCUUUCAAUUAGAUGGGUGGGCCAUUAGGUUUAACUAAUAAAGAACUCUUAAAAACCAAGACUGAUACGACGCACAAGGCACGACAUGAUUCAGUGACAAUAAAAAUAAUUAAAAAAUAUCAGGCAUUCAAUCAUCUUCUCCAAGUUGAUUGUCAACGAAUCGUUUUCUACUCUUCUUCAGCUAUACUUCUUCCAGUCACUAAACACCAAGGUAUGUUGCAUAGUUUCCUACUUUCAUUCUACCCCAAUUCUACUCUCCUAUCAGCUCUCUAGUCUCUAGUUUCAUGCAUAGUAAUGUAAGUAUGUAACAUUGUAAUGAAUCUUCUCUGCAUGCAUGUAAAUUGUAUAGAAAUUGUGUCUAUAAAUUGUAAUUUGGUUGACUGAUUGACUGUAUAUGCUACAUUAUGAUUGUAAUGUGUAAAUUUGUAUGUAAGAUGCAUGCUAGUACAUUGCUAAUUUGCUAGUUAAUACUUUUGCUGUUAAUGUUAUAAAUGAAAUAAUGAAUUAUGAAUCGGGUUUGUUACUUUGUAUACUCUCUGUAUAUUUCUCUCUUUCUUAAUUUAUAUGUGAUCAAAUAUAAUCAUUGUUUUAUACUUAUGUUGUAUUGUUGUCUUGCUGAUUUGUUGUUAAUUAAGUGUUUACCUGUAAAGUCAGAAGUGAAAACUGUUGCGAACUUAUGAUUAUGAUGUAAUGUUGUUAACUGUUUGACUGUUUCAGUGUUCUGUCAGUUGUCACUGUUAUGUACUUAUGUUAUAGUGUUAUUUUAUACAAGAUUACAAUUAGAUAUGUUUUGAUAUUUUGAUGUUUUCUAAAUUUUAAUUUCUAUUUUGUUAUACAUAAUGGUUUCGACUUUAGAUGACCUAGGUAGGAGAUAUGGUGCACAAGGUCCAAGUAAUAAAAACAAUUUUGUGUGCUCUUUUUGUGGACAAGUUCUGAAAGGAUGAGUAUAUCGCCUCAAACAACACUUGUUUGGCGGUCAUAAAGAUGCAAAUAAAUGUCCAAAUGUUCCUAUUAUUGUCCAGGUUCAGUAGGGUAGAGUUAGACCAAUUUCAGAGAUUUUGAAGAGGAUAAGGAGAAGAAAGUCGGAGAGAAUCUUGAAGUUGAAAUUAGGCAAGACAAUUGGUGGUGUUGAUGAUCCAGGAAAUUCUAAGGGAAGAACUCUUCUAAUUGAUUGGUGUUGAAUUUGUCUUUGUGUUAUUUGGAUUUAAUUUAUGUGUAUUAGGAUGAUGGUAAAUUUCAUUUGAGUUUAAUGUGUGUGUAUUUGGAUUGUUGUUUGAAUUUAAGGUAAUUGUCUUUGUUACGUACAUGUGAUGUGAAAAAGGUUAUGUUGGUCAUUUUUAUUCCAUGUUGUUGUUAUUGGUAAAUAGAAAAGGGUAAUUUGGUAAAGUUUAGAGUGAAUUUUAAAGUACAUUGUAUUUUGAAAGUAAAGUAAUGACAUAAAAGGGUAUUUUGGUCACUUAUGAAUAUAUAUUGCAUUUUGAAAGUAAAGUCAUGACAUAAAAGGGUAUUUUGGUUACUUAUGAAUGUAUAUUGCAUUUUGAAAGUAAAGUCAUGACAUAAAAGGGUAUUUUGUUCACUUAUGAAUGUAUAUUGCAUUUUUAUGGUAAAGUUGUGACAUAAAAGGGUAUUUUGGUCACUUAUGAAUGUAUAUUGCAUUUUGAAAGUAAAGUCAUGACAUAAAAGGGUAUUUUGGUCACUUAUGAAUGUAUAUUGUAUUUUGAAAGUAAAGUCAUGACAUAAAAGGGUAUUUUGGUCACUUAUGAAUGUAUAUUGCAUUUUGUAAGUAAACUCAUGACAUAAAAGGGUAUUUUGGUCACUUAUGAAUAUAUGUUGCCUUUUUAAGUAAAGUCAUUACAUGAAAGGGUAUUUUGGUCGCUUAUGAAAGUAUGUUGCCUUUUUAAGUAAAUUAAUGACAUGAAAGGAUAUUUUGGUCACUUAUGAAAGUAUGUUGCUUUUUAAGUAAACUCAUGACAUAUGGCUUUGUAUAUUUUUGCAUGGAAAAAUUUGGAAUAAUGUGCAUGCAUGUAAAUGUGUUAUAUGGUCCCAGAUAUGGUUCUACAAUGGGUUGAAAGGUCCCGUUGUUCCAUUAUAAAAACACCUUACUAACUAUUAACUAAAAAUGGUCCCCAUACAUAGUGUAUUUUCACAUGGACCACUUUCUACUUUAUUCUCAAUAUAAUAUCAUGCACAUCAACUAAUUUAGUUAUAUAUAAUAAAAGGAAAACAAGCCAUGCAUGUUUCAAUAACAUAAACAUCUCCAACAUCUUAUUAUAUAAAAUGCCCGACAAUUAGGACUUUCAAUCUGGCUUUACAAUAGUUAUAAAAUGCCCUUUCAUUAGGGAAUUACCAGUUUACAACAUCAACACACCAAGGUUGACACCCCCAAAUUCUAACUAAAAGUUGCUUCCAAACAUACAAAAUGCCAAUCAUUAUUGAGUUUUCUAGUCUGCCUUUACAAAAACAUACAAAAGCUUACAUUAACCACUCUAACUAACUACAAUCACUCCCUAACUUCAAAACAAAAAAAGACCAACCCAAAAAAUAACAUUGCAACUAUCAUCCUGUACCUGCCUAUUGUCUUCCUUGAAUCAGAAACAUCUUUCUCACUCUUUGCCACCUUACACUUCUCAUGUGACAAUAGGAACUCCACUUCAACAAUCAUUGUCUCCAAAUUGUUCAUCUCAGACAGAUCCUCUUUAGCAUCCAGUUUCUGCUUUAUAGAAUAUGAAAGGUUUUUGUAGUACCCUUGUUCAUGUUCAUUGUCUUUCCAAUCAAUUAAAAAAUGAAAAUGUUUUGAUUUAGAUAGUAAAUAAAGAUUAAGGAAAUCAGUUGCGUUUAAUGUACUAACGAAAUGAGUUUGAUUCACGAUCACAAAGAUUCCGCAAGAAGAAAAUAAAAUUACUUUUUUUUCCAAAUGCAAAACUAGCAUGAUAGGCUUUACACGAACAAUCAAACCCUAAAAUACAAAGGUAGCAUGAUUAGGAUUAUUGGGACCUACCAAACUGUUUUGACAAUUCCAGAAACUCGUCUAUUCUAUAUAUUUAUCUCCCACAUCGUCGCCACCGCCGUUGUCAUGUUCUUGGUUCUCCAUCAGAUAAAUGAUCGUCCAUCACACUCACAGGUACUCAGCGCAUUUGUUCUUCUAUUCUCUAUUUUCUGUUGAAUGUUGGGCUGAUUUUUCGGUUUAGAUUUUAUAUUCAACGUCAUUUUUUAAUUUUUAUAUACAGACCCAAAUAAGAUCAUUGCUAUUUUCAUAGGUAGAUUUGUAUUUGAUUUUGUUAUUGUGUUUUUUGGGAUUUAUAUCACAUUACUUAGGCCCAAAAAAUAUUUUGGAAAAGAUAUAGAUAAUAAAUACAAAUUUACAAGACUUGCUAUGUCUUUGAACGGCUAAUUUGGGUCGGUUUAUUUCAAUGCUUUGAUCUUUCAUGGAAAUUGCAUAUUGUAUGUCCCACCCCCACAAAAGCAGAGACCAAUUUGAACCACCCACUUAGAAUGAUUAUCUUCAUAGACCGAGAUUAUAUAAAUGGAAAAUGACUUAAAAGCCCAACGAAGUUUUCAAACCAUUCAAAAAACCCCAGUCAUGUUUUGGUUGUUCAGAAAAACCUAACGAACUUAACAUUUUGUCUAAAAAGUCCAACAAAGUUCCAAACCGUACAAAAAAUCCCAAUUUUGUUUUGUUUAAGUUCGUUGGGUUUUUUUUUGAACAGUUAAAACAUGAUUGGAGUUUUUUAAAUGUUUUGGAAACUUCGUUGGCCUAACAUGUCACUUUUCCGAUACGGUAAUAGGCCACGUCAUCUGUUUCUCGUAUUUGACUUUCAGGAAAGUGUAACUUCGUUGGGCUUUUUAGACAAAAUGUUAAGUUUGUUGGGUUUUUUUAAACAGACAAAACAUGAUUGGGGUUUUUUGAACGGUUUGAAAACUUCGUUGGGCUUUUAAGUCAUUUUCCCUUAUAUAAAUCCUCGGCUUUUAAGUCAUUUUCCCUUAUAUAAAUCCUCACUCAUGAGGGCAGUUCAUAUAUGUAUCAAUACAAACCAAAAUCGCCAAUAUCUUCAUCUACAAUAUGAAUCCUUGUGUUUUUAUAAUUUUCUCACUUCUGUUGCUAACUGCCAGCCAAUUGGAAGGAGAUGAUAGAAAUAUGAAAAAGUGUUUGGAUAAGGAGAGACGCGCUCUCCAUCUUUUCAAAGCUCCCCUUGAUUGCCCCUUUGGUUGUUUCUAUACAUGGACAGCUGAAAUUGAUUGCUGUGCAUAGGGUGGAGUCACAUGUGACAACCAAACAGGUCAUGUCAUAGGGCUUGAUGUCAGUGACUAUUCUCUUGAAGGUAAGUUAAGCCAUUCAUUUCUUAACUUAACCUACUUGAAUCAUCUUCAUCUUUCCAGAAAUUCUCUUCAUGGAACCAUUCCCAGGUCCAUUGGUUCCUUGACUAGAUUAAGCUACCUUAACAUCGGCUUCAAUAAUCUUAAUGGAACCAUUCCUAGGUCCAUUGGUUCCUUGACCAAAUUAAGUUACCUCGACCUUGGCUCCAAUAAUCUUAGUGGAACCUUUCCCACCUUCAUUGGUUCUUUGACUCGAUUAACCUACGUUGACCUUUUCUAUAACUCUCUUUAUGGAACCAUUCCUCAAGAGUUUGGAAACCUCACCAACUUGCAACAUCUUUCCCUUGGACCUGAUGGAGGAUGUAGAGUUGAAAACAUAGAGUGGGUGUCUCAUCUCUCUCAUUUGCAUUACCUCGCAUUGGAUGGGAUUUCCCUAGCCAAACAAAAUCACUGGGUAGAUGUUAUUCUGAGCCUCCCGAAACUCUCAUAUUUAUCUUUAGAUGGAUGUGAGCUAUCACAGAUCAUGUAUCCAUAUUCUUCAUUAAUUCUCAACUCUUCUUCCUCUAUUGUUGAACUUCGACUUGGAAACAACAAUCUGACCUCAUCCAUGUAUCGUUGGUUGCUCCCAUUUACCAGCAAUAGCCUUGUUCAUCUUGAUCUCUCUGGAAACAUGUUAGAUGGGAUACCCAAAUAUCUUGGUAACCUCUGUACUCUGGAAACUUUAUACUUCUCUUACAACUCUGCUGUUGUCAAAUUUUCUGAUUUUCUCAACAACCUGUCUGGAUGCACAUCCCUUUCAUUACAAUACUUGGUGGCUUCUUAUAGCCAAUUUACAGGGCCAUUGUCUGGUGACAUCCAAAACUUUUCAUCCUUAGCACGGUUGGACAUAUCUGAUAAUCACUUAAAUGGAAGUAUAAGUGAGAAACUGUGGGAACUACCCUGGCUCCAAACCCUUGACCUUUCUUUUAAUAAUCUUAGAGUUCCUUCCACAUAUCACUUGUCAAACAUCUCUUAUGUUAAAUAUCUUGAUCUGAGCUCUUGCAAGCUGCUAGGGCCUCGCUUCCCCAAAUGGAUUCACACAUUCAAAAAUCUUUACCAUCUUGAUCUUUCUAAUACUGGAAUUUCAGACACAAUUCCUUUGGAGUUUUGGGACGUGUGGCCUUAUCCUUUAACAUAUCUGAAUCUCUCUUCCAACAAUAUUAGUAGGAAAGUGCCAGAUUUAUUUUUAAUCUUUGACGCAUAUUCAGUGAUAGAUUUGAGUUCCAACAGCUUUUAUGGUCCAAUACCUAAAUUCUCUUUCGAAAUGGAAUCAAUAAAUCUUUCCAGAAACAAAUUCUCUGGAGGAAUCUCUUUCAUAUGCCAAGCUGUUUAUGGAUUCUUAUUAUUUCUUGACCUCUCUCAUAACUCAUUAAGUGGACAACUCCCAGACUGUUUGUGGAAUUUCGAUUCCCUAACAGUUCUUAAUCUGGGGCACAACAAUUUCUUUGGUAGGCUUCCUCCCUCUAUUGGAUCUAUGAUAGAACUCCAGGUGUUGUAUUUAUACGAUAACAACUUCUCUGGAGAAUUGCCUUUCUCUUUAAAAAAUUGCAAGAGUUUAAUCUCGUUGGAUUUGGGGGCCAACAAGUUUUCUGAUAACGUGCCUGUCUGGAUUGGGGAAAACUUAUCAGGGUUGAAUGUUCUUAUCCUAAGAUCAAACAAAUUCUUUGGAACCAUCCCUUUACAGUUAUGUCAGUUACCUAAUCUUCAAAUUCUAGACCUGUCAAUGAACAGUCUCCAUGGAACCAUCCCUUCAUGUUUGAGUAAUCUUACAAACAUGGUUCAACAAGGAGGAUUCUCACAAGAUGUAUUGUUUUAUGAAAGAAUAAGAGGUUAUGCAACUAGAGCGGGGAUAUAUGUCGACCAUGCACUGAUCGAGUGGCAAGGAGUUGAACGUGAAUUCUUUAGCACUCUGAAAUUGUUGAAGGCCAUUGACCUGUCAAGCAACAAUUUAACAGGACAAAUCCCAUAUCAAAUUACCAAUCUUUCUGACUUGGUUUCCCUGAAUCUGUCAAAGAACGCUCUAUCCGGAGAGAUCCCACAGAAAAUUGGUGAGAUGAAAAAGCUUUUGACUUUGGAUUUAUCCAGAAACAAUUUCUCAGGGCAGAUACCAUCAAGCAUGUCUCAGAUGAGUUUACUGAAUUACCUAGACUUGUCAUUUAAUAACUUGUCAGGGAGAAUCCCAACAAACACUCAGCUCCAGUCCUUUCAACCUUCAAGAUAUGUUGGAAACAAAGGACUAUGUGGACCUCCCCUUACCAAAAAGUGUCCUGGAGAUGAAGAACCAGUAGCAACAUCGGUGAUUGGUAAAAAUGAUGGUGAUGGGGAAGACACAGAUGAUGAACUUGAGAAAUGGUUUUAUAUUGGUGGGGGCAUGGGUUUUGCCACUGGAUUUUGGAUGGCAUGUGGGGCUUUACUUCUCAACCGCCGUGGGAGACAUGCAUUUUUUCAGUUUUAUGAUAGCUUCAAAGAUUGGGUUUAUGUGUUCAUUGCAAGCUUGAAGAUGGCUAGACAUACGUAGUUUGUUAUCUAAUUUCUAUUUUAACUUCUUAUUUCUCGGUAUAGAAUGUAAUUUGGCUGUGGUUUUUAAAUCCCGAAUAACAAUAAAGUUGCGACUAACACAUGGGUGGACACCAUGGGUGGCCAAUUUCCCCGUGUUGUUUGAAAAUUAUAUUUGUACAAAAACCGGUUUGGAAAACUAUUAUUUAGUAAUUAAUCAGCCUAGUGGCUUGGACGGGAAGACUUCUUGAAGUUUUUUGGUUUUUACAAUUGAUUCAAUAGAAAUUCAUCCUCUCUCAUUAUCCUCCACGUUUCCAUUUAUUGCCUAGUAUUCUUAUCAGUUAUACUCUGAACAAAGAAAAGUCAUUUUAGUUGGAACAAGGACAAAAAAACACAUUACAAAAACCUCAAAUAAGGACCAAAAUUAUUGCAGAAAACCUUUUGGGGCCAAAAUUAGAAAAUAUCAGGUAUAUUCAAGGACUGAAAAUGUAAAUAACUCUUUAACAUUUAUUAGAAAAUUAUUACUCUUAGUUUUGCCGACCCUUGUUAAAAUCAUGGUAUUUAGAUUGGUAAAUUUUUGUUUCUCCUGGUACCGUGACAUGGAUUUUCCUACGGUACCUAUAAAUUUUAUAUAAAGUAAAUAUUUUAAAUCUAAUUAAGAUGCUUUGUUAUUGAUAAACUUUUGUACUACCAUUGCAGCAUUGUCAAAAUUGUUCUUAACAUGUGAAUAUGCAAGACAUGGGUCUGUCACCUAACAAGUCAAAAAGUCAAAAAGUCAAAAGAUGGUUAGAAUGGCAAUAUUGUAAAUUGAUGAAAUGAGGACUAAUCAUUUUACUUGUUGUAAAUCCAAUGUCAUCAUAAUCCAAACCUAGUAGAAGACUUGGAUAUAGUCUUUGUUGAAUCUUUGUAUGUGAAAUCCAAAGAGACGAUCCCUUAAGCUAAGAAGAUAUGUAUAGUUAUUUUACAUUGGACAAGGAGCAAAUCACAUGACCAUUAUUUCAGUUUACUCCUAAAGAAAUUAUUAACAACCUUAAGCUUUUAGAUAAAAUGAUUUAGAAGGUCGUAAUACAUUUUUAUGAGCUAUAAAAGAUGUUACUUGGGCUUAACAAACUCUUUUAUAAAGUUUUUUAGAGCACAUCAAUGUAAGAGCGAAUUUCAGGAAUUAAGAGAAAUAAAAUAUAAUAAUAAAAAUCAAGACUGUGAAAUGGUAUUGCUACUCUUUAGUAGUAAUAAUAACAAUAACAAUAACAAUAACAAUAAUUUAUAUCAUAUAACAUCCGAAUCCAGGUAAUUUUUUUAAGUACUUGAUAUAAAUUAAAUUGGCAAAGAAGACCCUUAGUACGCUAGGCAUACGUGUAUGUAAGCUUAGCGUAUAUAGGCGCAUUGAUCAGGCAGCUGCGAGCAUGUACGUGGGGCGUACAUGGACAAAAAGCUGAAACCCUAAUUCUCGUUUUUGAGCCCUAUUUAAGCUCAUUUAUGACCUUUGGACCUCAUUCUUAACAGCCUCCACUGCAUUUAAAUGUCCCUAAAAACCCUAUUUGCCAUUAGAGGUGAUCUUUGAGCUUAAAGUCACAUUAAUAGCCGUUUUUGGUGUGUUUCCAAGAAGAAGUUGUGAGCAAGCCUUGGACGUGGUUGAGCUUCAAGAUCCUGAAUCUACAUCAUCUUGAGAAGCUUUUGGAGGUAAAAGUUCAUACCUUGUUGAUCCUUUUGCUAGUUUGAGUUAGGGUUUGGUUAUAAGUUCAUUUUUGGCCCAUGGAUCCUUUUUUGUGAGUUUGGGCAACUCCAGAGGUUAGAAAUGCUAAAUCUUAGUCCCUUUGGCAUGUUAGAAGCAUAAAAAUGCUAUCUUGAUGGUUGUUAUGGCACCAUGCAUGGGCUUAGGUCGUUAAAGUGAGUCUUAAUGGACAAAAUGGGAUGUUGGGCUCCCAUAAGGCAUGCAAAGGCAUAAAGUUGCUAACUUUAUGCCUUAGGACCCCUUAAAUGACCAAGACAUGGAAUUUGACGAAGUGGCUGGAUGUAAUAAGCACUUAAUGGCUAAAUAUGCUUAACAGCUUAGUAUGUUGGGCGUACUAAGAUGUAUGAUGCAUGUACUGCCUGAAGAUCAAGUACGCUAAGCGUACUGAGAAUGUACGUUGCGUGUACGCCCAGUGGGCUGUUGGACAUGUUUUGGACUUUUGGGCCUUAACUAGUUUUGGGCCUUGGCCUGUUUAUAAUAAGUGGGCUUAGUUUUCUGUUGUGGGCCUUGUGUGUCAUGGUUUGGGCCUUUUAUGCCAAGGGGCCCGUUAUUAUAGAUGGACCGAAUAUGGUUAGGUCCAUUAUGGGAUAGACGAAAUAGGCCAUAGUGUAACUUUCGAUAUUUUCUAAGGUAUUUAUUUAAUAUUGGUUAUUUAAUUAUUAAGAGUCAAGCCUUGGACGUUUUCAUUUGGGGCUUAGUGUGUGCAGUAUGCGGGGCGUACCACCCUGUGUACGUUGGGCAUACUAAUGUGGACUGAUUGCGAGUGCCAUUCACGUACACGCUGCGUACAAAGGAGUACGCGCAGCGUACGUGUCCAGAUCCCAAAACCCUAAUAUUUAGGGUUUGAGCACUAUUUAAAGAACAUUAUGCCCUACAGAUCUUCUUUAUCAGCCUCCCUUUUGUCCCUUAACAGCCUCUAUGAAACCCUAACCCCAUUGUUGAGUGUUCUUGAGCUUGGAAGGUCUUUUGAGUGCAUUUUGGUAUGUUUUGUCUCAUUUUCAAGGAAGAGAAGGUUGGAGUAAGGUGGUGGUUCAAGGAGAAGCUUGUAGAUCCGAAUUAUUUGCUCCGAUCCAUUUCUAGCUUGUGCAAUAUAUAAAGUAUUGAUCUUGAUCUUUAGAAGCUUAGAUCUCCAUGUUUUAGCUUUUGGUCCCAUAGAUGAGCUCUUGUGGAUUAUUUUCGUUUCUGAAGCUUAGAGUUGCUACUCUUGGUGUUCUUUGGGUCCUAGAGUCAUAAAGUUGCCACCUUUGAAGCUUUAAUCCAACCAUGCAUGAGUAAUGACCAUUUUUAUGGAAGUGGAAUGUUAUAUUUUGAGUUUGGGCCUAUUUGGGGCAUGUAAAGCCACCAAGUUGUCAACUUUAUGGGCUAAGAUGUAACACCCCAUUUAAUCAAUAAACAAAUAAACUAAUUAAUAGAUGUAAUUUCCGGACAGAAUUGUGAAGAAUUUUAACAGUUGAGGAGUGUUUAGUAAAUUACGGAGUUGAUUGAGAAGAAUCUUAGAAGCAAGGGUAUGUUUGGUAAUUAUUAGGACUUAUUAUGAAAGAGAAUUAUGGAAUCAAGGGAAAAAGGAUAAAUAUUGGAUUUAGUUUGUAAAGGAUUUUAAUGUCAAGUGCUAAAAGGGUAAAAUUAGGACCCACUUUGAAAGAAAAGGGGAGGGGAGGGGCCAAAGGUGGCAUUAUGGAAGAAAGAUUCAAGGGGUGUCGGGUAUAUAAUAUUACCCGCCACCCCUUUCUUCACAUCCGGUCGCCGCCAUCACCAUAGAAGCCCUGUUCCAGCCGCCGCCUCCAUUGUCGACGAUGACAAACUCGACUACCGCCACUCCAAGCAAUUGAGGUGCGAAACUGCAGCCUCCGUUUCUCCGACCUCCCUUCGCCAUCAUCUUCCCAACAGGCGUUAUAGUCGCCGCCACUCCAAGCAAUUGAGGUGUGAUGCUGCAGCCUCUCCGACUACCACGUGCCACCGCAAGGGUGGUGGUGUUUAGAUGUAUUUCCGGUGCGAACUAGCGUAUGUUGACGUUUUUCGGAGCAACAAACCAAAAGAAAGCAUCGCCACCACAGUGUGGUGGUGGCUGACGACGCAACCUGCCGCUUUUCCAGGGUUCUGUCACCGCCAUGUACGCCGCCAGGUGGUGGUUGUGUUGCUAUUUCGAGCAUAGUAGUGGGUGUGUAUUAUUUCAGUGAUGUAUGAUUGGGUUUGUUGGCCGGAUAUAUCAAGAAAGCAACCGCCACCAGUGUGAGAUGGUGGCUUCCACCACGAGCCACCGCCGGCCACCACUAGGGUGGUUGUGUCUGUGUGUGUUAGAGUAGUUAGUGCGUGUGUUUAUUUGUGGAUUAAAAGCUUGUAAUUGUAAUUAGCAAAUGAGUAAUGAAAAGAACCAUAACCACAACCGUAGGGUGGGCGCCGUGAGCCGCCAUUGACCACCACUACCCGAGGUGGUAGUGGGUGGUUCCCCACUAGCAAAACCCUAAUGUGCUUAAAGAUUAUUUGGGUGGAAACCCUAAUUUCACUUGGCCUUAUGUUGGGCCUUUCUGUUGGGCUUUGGUGUUUGAGCUUAUAAUGGGCCAUCCAAGAUCAAUCAUUGGACUGAAAUAUUUAGAUGGGCUUUAGGGUAAGGCCCAUAUGAGGGUGUAGGCCCAAUUUAGAAAAUUGGGCCAUAGAUGGGCCAUAGUUUGGGCCUUAAUGGUUAUAUGAUAUUGGGCCAUUAGAAAUAUCAAAUGUUGGGACUGGACUAAGUAGUUGGGCCUUUAAUUAUGACCAUGUAAAGGUUUGGGCCCAAUUUGGAAAAUUGGGCCAUAUGUUGGGCUUUGACUCAUAGUUGACUGUUAAGCCUUUGGAUUGGUCCUUGGGAUUGGAUCAAGCUAAGAUUGGGGUAAAGCAGUCUUUUACCCCAAGCAUGGACUUAUGAGUAUAUGUGAUGGAACCUUAUUAUUAAUUGGGUGUUAUUUUGAUGUUGACAGAUUCAGGAAUCUGUUAUCCAUCAGCUAGGGUUUUGUCAGCGGGACUUCAGCAGUGUGAGGUGAGUUUUCCUUCAGUAGGAACGGGUCUAAGGCACCAAUGUCGACUCGUUUAAGUAGUAGAGUAUGUCGGGGUUUAGCCCGAUGCAUUUUAUAUGUUUCCGAACUUCGGUCCGAUGUCAGGGCUGUCCCGAAAAGUAGUUAAGUAUGCGUGAUGUCUUUGUGAUUCAUGCAUGUUAUAUGAUAUGUGUUAAGUGUUCCGGGCUUCGGUCCGAUGUCGGGGCAAGCCCAAUGUAUGUUAGUUACAUGUUAUAUGUUAUGUGUUCCGGGGUAAGCCUGAUGUUGGGGCAAGCCCGAUGUAUGUUAGAUAUUAUACUAUGUAUUAUGUGUUCCGGGGCAAGCACGAUGCAGAUUAUGUGAUUAUGUUGUAUGUUAUAUGUUCCGGGCUUCGGUCCGAUGUCGGGCAAGCCCGAUGCAGAUUAUGUGAUUAUGUUAUGUGUUUAUGAUAUAUGUUAUGUUGUGUAUGUGUCGGGGUAAGCCCGACGCCGGGGUGAGCCCGAUGCCCGAUGCGGUCGAAUGCCGGGGUGAGCCCGAUGCCGGACAGGAGUCUGAUGCCGGGUAAGCCGAUGUCGGGAUUCGUCUCGAUGCAGCUGGGAGUAGUCCCAGAGUUAUGUUAUUUGUUAUAUGUGCUUGUAUGGUAUGUGGUGGUUUAGGGAGCUCACUAAGUUUCAUGUUUACAGUUUCAGUUUUGGUUUCAAGUACUUCAGCUAGCAAAGGAGAGGGCUCGAGUUGAUGGCAUGGCACACACCACAGUUUAUUAGCCUGGGAGCUUACUCUGAUAUUUUAUAUGAGACUGUUAUAUGUUGACAGAUUUUAUGAGAUUUUGAGAUACAUGAUUGAUGAUUUUAUUUUAUGGUGGCAAUAUUAUGUUUGUUAAAUGAUUUUAAAAACGAAAAUUUUGGCUUGUAUUUUUGGGAUGUUACAAGUUGGUAUCAGAGCCUUGGUUUGAAGGAUUCGGGCACACUUUCGGGCGUGUAUGAACUCAAACUAAGGAAUUGGUAUAGAAAUUUUCAAAAGGAAAAUCAAUUUUUGCAAAACAAAAUAGUUUUAGAAAAAGGGAAAAGAAUUUUUUUAGUAAGAAAAGAACUUUGAAAAGAGAAAAGGGUGUAGUGAAUGCAAUCAGUCGAGCUCAAGUGAGUACUCCCAAAUUACCCAUACAAGUUUAUGCUAUGUUUAUGAUUAUCAACUUUAUUUAUACAUCAUGCUAGAUUAGGACUAAGGAUCUAGGAAGGAUGCCUUAUGUUCCUAUUAUGUGUUUCAACUUUUUGAGAACUGCAUGCUAGUACAGAUUAGUCAGGAUGAUAGCCUGAGUAGUAUAUGCUUGAUUAUGUAUACUCAAUGUCCGAAUGCUGCUUGCUUUGUGCUUUUAGGAGUUCUAGUUGUCUUUCACUAACUAGUAAAAAAAAUGUUAAGUUACAUAUUGCAAGGACUAAAUAAUUUCCAGAAGGUUAGGUCUAGCUCUAUUUCGCAACUCUUGUUUGAGUCCAACCGUUGUAGGGUAGGAUCUCUCAUUCAAAGAAUUAUCUAGUCUGGGUAAUAUGUAAUAGUAUUUGCGAGUUAGUUAGGGGGAGGUAGUAGGACUUCUUAUGCAACUGAUGGCGGAGAGUGGGUUGGUGAUUACCCUAGGGAAAACCUAGGAAGAGUUUAGUAUGAGAUCAGCAGUAGUAGUAGAAGGGACUUGGUGGAGUCGAGGCAGUUCUUGAGAAAAGUACGGAUAUAUGUGGAUGGUAGUAUGGGCCCGUAGAAAGCAGAGCACCCGUACUCGAAUCAAGGAAGGCUGAGAUGAACCCAUGGACCUUGUAGUGUGUGAGAUCCCUCGAGUUAUGAUGAGUACUAUGAAGAUUGUGCUGGUAUGUUUUCGAGUAUAGUGACGUUACGUGAUAGACCAGAUGGCAGUUCUGGUGCCGACGAGGGAUCAUGCUCAGACUCUGGAGUUGGGCAGCUUGAUGGUCAUAUGAGGGAGUUUAUUCCAUCUGAGGGUACACGCAAUAUCAUUAACCAAACUCCUGUGAUCUUCAAUAUGAUCAAAAGAGGGUAUUUUAGAGAUUUGUGAUGAGAGGCUGAGUGCAUUCUACACAGAGAUAGCAACCAUGAUAGGGACGCGUGCGUUUGUGAUUUAGGAAGUUCAGAGCUUGUGAAGCUCUAGACUAUCAUGGGGCUAGGGACCCUAUUGCUAGCACCAGGUGAUUGGUAGAUAUCACCAAUAUUUUCGUACCGGCCAUAGUCUGGAAAGGAGACAAGGACCGACUUGCCUCCUGCCUCCUGAAGGACAGGUCAUGUGAUUGAUGGAAGAAGUUGGUAGAAGGUUGAGUGAUGAUGUGAUCGAUGCUAUGUCAUUGGAUGACUUUUAGAUCAUACUCUGGACAGAGCGUGUCCAGGCCAUUAAGGUGCAAUAGUUGCCGCGAGAGUUGUUAGAUCUCCACCAGACGACGGAGACUGUGGCAGAGAUCACUUCCAAGUCUCGGGAGACAGCUUAGUUCGAACCACAGUAGGUUAGAAGAGGAGGAAAUGAAGAAGGUAAGAUAUCAGGACAUACUGCAGAAUGAUAGCAGAGAGAUCGUGAGUUUCUCAGGGUGUGAGACCCUAAGUGAUAUGACUUCUAGAGCCCGAGAACGGUAAAUUGACUUGGAGCACAUUAGGAAGAGGGAACCAUAUCAGUUGCUUAUACUAAAGGGUCUCGGAAGGAGAACCAAGAUUUAGGAUUAGCUUUCGAGAGACCAGCAGGACCAGAUUCGGUGUAGCACUUGCGGGAAACUGCACAAGGGGGCCUUUCGUUCCAAGGGUUUGAGUAAGUGUGACUUUGGGUUAUCCUCUGUCUAUGUUUGAAUUAUACUUCCAAGAAAUGGCAUAUGCCAAUUGCAUACCGAGAAUUAUUAGCGGAUAGCAAAAGAUCAUUUCCCAAAUUGCAGGAUUGGGGGAGUACAACGUCAUCUUGGUUUAUUCCAAGACUGAGGAGCAGCACGAGGAGCACCUGAGGGAGGUGCUAGAGACUUUGAGGAGGGAGAGACUUUUUGCAUGGUACUCCAAAUGUGUGUACUGGUUGCGCGAGCUGCAAUUUCUUGGGCACCUUGUCAAUCAGGAGGGUAUUCUAGUUGAACCGGCCAAGAUAGAGGUCGUGAUGCAGUGGGAGAAUUUGAGGUCUCUAAUUGAGAUUCGGAGCUUCGUGGGUCUAGCGGGUUAUUACCAUAGAUUUAGUCGGGACUUUUCCAAGAUUGCAGUUCUUUUGACCCGACUGACCAAGAAGUCGGUGGCCUUUUGCUAGGGGCCUGAGCAACAUACAACUUUCGAGACUCCCAGACGGUUAAGUGUUUCAGGAAGUUUAGUGCUUCAGACAUUUUCAGUGUCUCAACCAGCAAUGGCAUUUUGGAUAAGUUUCGCAUCCUUGUCAGGAAGAAGACAGCCCAAGCGGCUGUAUGGUUUGAGGAUAGUGUGAGAUGGAAGUUCGGGAAAAAACUUGCCAAUAAGGAGAUCGCGUUCCCGUAAUAUUUACCAGCAAGCCUUAGGGAAUCAAGUUGGGGAUUCCAGUCAGGACAUGAGUUCAGUUGAGUGCGGGUCAAGCGCAUGUUCGAUCUAGUAUGGAAGGUGUUGUAAGUCUGUUGGUGUAGCCGUAGCAUUCACUAGCAGCCAGAUAGUGUUAGAGUGUUGUAAGUCUGCGGGUGUAGCUGUAGCAUUCACUAGCAGCCAUAUAGUAUUAGAGUGUUGUAAGUCUGUGGGUGUAGCUGUAGCAUUCACUAGCAGCCAGAUAGUGUUAAAGUGUUGUAAUUCUACGGGUGUAGCCGUAACAUUCACUAGCAGCCAGAUAGUGUUAGAGUGUUGUAAGUCUGCGGGUGUAGCCGUAGCAUUCACUAGGUUGGUAGAUAGCGUGAGUGCUUUGUUAGGACUCGGAAAUAACAGUAGUACCCACCAGUUCAGGUGUAGUAGUGAGGAUAUGGAAAUCCACGAUUUGGAUUUCGGAAUUACCAGAUGGUUUAGAUUUGGUUGAGCCGGUGAUAAGACUGUAGGAGCGCCACUAGACUUAUGGAAUCACGGAAGCAAUGGACCGAAUCAGAUUGCUUGUGAUAUCAAGCUACCAUUAGUCAGGUAGCAGUCAUUUUUAGCCUUGGAUUUGGAGGAUGCUAGCAUCCGACGUAUGGACUCGACCAGUUAGAUCAUAAACUUAUUAAAGCCUCAGUGGCGUGAUAACUAGUUCCAGAGGAGGAUUUCGUUUUGAAGUCGUGUGAGGCGACUAAGUGGGAGUCUUUUGACGCCGUAGCCAGGCUAGAACCCGGUAUUUCAGAUGAAUGAUGGAUGAAUUGAGACCGGGAAAGUCUCGAUAGAUUUUGGGAAAGCAGUCAUGUAGUAGCAUGUUGUUUCAGGCAGUUUCAGUGAUUGAGCAGUGUUAGUAUUUGUGUAGGUUGCAAGCACGGGCAAAAUAGCUGGUUGACUGGGAAGUGACAAGUCACUCACAGCGAGAUUUGUUGAGCCUUGGCCAAGUAUAAGUGAUCUGUAGGGAUAUUGGGCAUGUGAUCCUAUUUUAUGGUGGGAGACUUCGAGCUAUUAGAAAUUGAGCAGCCAGUUAAGAGAUAAGCAGGCUGGUUUCAUCGAUAAUGAUUCAGUAUGAGUGGUCUGUCAUGGAACCAGACCAUCUCAAGACAACAUAUUUCAGACAAAGUAGAUGUGGACUUGUUGCGAGGAAUUCGUUCACCAGUAGAAUUUAAGGCUUUGCAAAAAUUGGUCAUGGCUACCUUGAGAAGGCUAAGGUGUGCCCAGGAUUGUGGUCAGGUUCCUUGAGUGGGUUGGCAUGUAAGAAUGAUAACGGUUGAUUUCGAGGACGAAAUCUAAUUUAAGUGAGGGAGAGUUGUAACACCCCGUUUAAUCAAUAAACAAAUAAAUUAAUUAAUAAAUGUAAUUCCCGGACUGAAUUGUGAAGAAUUUUGAUAAUUGAUGGUUGUUUAGUAAAUUACGGAGUUGAUUGAGAAGAAUCUUAGAAGCAGGGGUAUGUUUGGUAAUUAUUAGGACUUAUUAUGAAAGAGAAUUAUGGAAUCAAGGGAAAAAGGAUAAAUAUUGGAUUUAAUUUGUAAAGGAUUUCAAUGUCAAGGGCUGAAAGGGUAAAAUUAGAACCCACUUUGAAAGAAAAAAGGAGGGAAGGGGCCAAAGGUGGCAUUAUGGAAGAAAGAUUCAAGGGGUGUCGGGUAUAUAAUAUUACCCUCAACCCUAACCCUAGGAGCAUAGCAGUCACAACCUCAUCUCCGAUUGGUGCCACCCCUUUCUUCACAUUCGGUCGCCGCCAUCACCAUAGAAGCCCUGUUCCAGCCGCCGCCUCCAUUGAUGACGAUGACAAACUCGACUGCCGCUGCUACUUUUGUGGUAUGAGGAAGCAACUCCCACCACUGGGUGCGAGCAUCCCAGUCGCCAUCACCAUUGUUGCGUUUUUCCGAUGGGUCGAGCCACCAAGCGUGGCAGCCUCUAUCCCCGUACGAGAGCAGUCAAUAGUGUGACUGUUGGGUCUACGUGCGUUGCCGUUUCUCCGACCUCCCUUCGCCAUCUUCUGCCCAGCAGGCGUUAUGAUCGCCGCCACUCCAAGCAGUUAAGGUGUGAUGAUGUUGUCGCUCCGACUACCAGGUGCCACCGCAAGGGUGGUGGUGUUUAGAUGUAUUUCCGGUUUGAACUAGCCUAUUUUGACGUUUUUUAAAGUAGCGAACCAAAAGAAAGCAUCGCCACCACAGUGUGGUGGUGGCUGACAACGCAACCUGCCGCUGCCGCCUUUCCAGGGUUCUGUCGCCGCCAUGUACGUGCCAGGUGGUGGUUGUGUUGCUAUUCCGAGCAUAAUAGUGGGUGUGUAUUAUUUCAGUGAUAUAUGAUUGGGUUUGUUGGCCGGAUGGAUCAAGAAAAGUGGUCGCGCGCUUCCAUUUCGCAUGCAUGGUCCUCCAUGCCAACUUUUUAAGGGACCAUUUAUGCCAAUAACUUCCAACUGUAGACGAGUUGGAGAGCCCCAACUCGACGAGUUGACGCUGCGAAAUGAAAACCCUAAUCUUCGGACAUUUCACCCUAUAUAAAGAACAUUAACUUCUAGGACUGGCCUCCUUGCCUAGAGAAAACCCUAGACUCGCCUUCCUCCUUGUUCAUUGAGUUUUGUUAGUGUUCGAGUGAUUGUUUGAAAUCUUUGAAUGAGGUUUUGAAGAGAGAAGUAUCAAGCUUGGAGGAGUGAACUUGGAUCCAGAAACUCUACAUCAAGGGCUACAUCUUUGAGGUAUAAAGUCAUAACCUUGACAUGUAGCUUAUUAGAUCUCAUCUUUUGAAUUUUAAGCAUGAUUUUGGGAUCUUGGGUUGAAUUGUCCAAAAGAAAAAGAUUCCAGGGGUUGUCAAGCUAGAUCUGACCCCUCCAUGGUAUCCUGAGGCUUAAAGUUGCAAACUUUAAUGGCCUCCAUGUCCCUUUCAUGCAAUAUGUUCAUUAGAAAGCCCAAUAUGGACCCUAGAGAGUGUUAAAAGUAUGCAUGGGCGUAAAGAUAGAAAAUUUACAAGAUUUCCCGCCUUUGGACAUCAGAUCUGUGUUUUGGGAUGUUGAGAUGAGAGUUUAAGGGCUUAAUGGGUCAAGACCUUCCUUAAAGGAACUAGGGUUUGGGUUUAGAGCCUAUUGGGUGAAUCUUGGGGUAAAGUUGGAAACUUUACCCUUCUAGACAUUUCUAGGAAUGGAGAUCUGAAGUUUGGAACCAUUGGAUUCGAGAAAAAGGGCUUAAUGCAUUAAGUGAGUUGACAGACUGAAGAACUCGACGAGUUCACAAGGGAACUCGGCGAGUUGGGUUAGGUUUACCUCGAUUUUGUUGGAAAACGGAGGAACUCGACGAGUUAUAGGAGAACUCGAUGAGUUGGAUCGCAAUAUCGUGAUUCUGGCUUUGGGAUGGACUCGACGAGUUACAGAGGUUACUAGACGAGUUAGGUCAACUCGGAGUGUUGACUUUGACCUUGACCAGGGUUGACUUCUAAGGGGUUUGAAGGGUUGAGUUUUAUCUAAGGAAUUGUUUAUGAUUAGGGAGGUGGCAGAGCUGACACUCGGAGUUUGGACCUACUUAGUUACAGUUUGCAUUUGAGGUGAGUCUCUUCACCAUACCAAUGGGUCGAAGGCACUAAGGUCGGCCCAUUAUGUGUUAUGUGGUAUGCUAGUUGGUUAUGUGGUAGGUAGUAUGCUAGUUGUCUUGGUGAUACUUGCAUGGAAGACCUCGGGGGGGGGNNNNNNNNNNNNNNNNNNNNNNNNNNNNNNNGGGGGGGUUCCCAAGGCAAUUGGAUAUAAGACCAUGUAGGGGUUCCCAUGACAUUCCAGGCUAAGACCAUGUGGGGGUUCCCAUGACAAUUCCAGGCUAAGACCAUGUGGGGGUUCCCAUGGCAGUUAGUUAAGACCAUGUGGGGGUUCCCAUGGCAGUGGGCUAAAACCAUGUGGAGGUUCCCAUGACACCCGGUAUAAGACCUUGGAGGGUUUCCAGGCAUCCUUAUAUGUUUGUAUGCAUGGCUUGUAUGGUUGAUAUGGUUUAUGUGAUUAUGUGAAUUGUGUGGGGUAUGUUAUGGGGAACGCACUAAGCAUUACCUUACAGUUUGUUGGUUGUUUCAGGUACUUCAGGAUCUAAGGACAAGAGCCUAGCGUGAUGGCGCGGCAUGCACUCUCUGGCGUUUUAUUGGGGACACUCUGAUAUUUUGAAUAAUUUAUCUGAUGUUAUGGAUAUUGAAAACAAAUGUGAUUGGAAUUUUAUGUUUUAUGAAGAUGAUUCCAUUAUUUAAAUGAAAAUUUUUAUUGGAAAUUUUAGGCUGUUACAAGGCCAACAUACCCAGGUGGGCUAGCGGUGUGAUGUAGGCUAGUGGUGGAUCAACAGAAAGUUGAGAGGGAGCAGUCCAUGUGCACUAUAGGCCUUGCGAGGCGGGCUAAUCCAACUGUAGACUCGAGGGAAAUCCAGUCUUAUGUUUUGGGCCCGAUAUGCAUGUAUUGUAUGUAUAUUGUGAUGUGUGGUAUUUUGGGGGAACUCGCUAAACUUUGGCUUACAGUUGUGGAUUUAAUGUGUUUCAGGUACCAAUAGUGAUCAUAGGAAGGUGAAGGCAUGAUUGUACACAUUCAUUAGCAACCGUGGAUAUUUUGUGUCUACUAUAAUAUUCUGAUUUUGGCAAAUGUAUCUUGGAACAAAUGGUCUUUUUUAAAAGGGAUUUUAUAAAUGUGAAGUUUUACCUUUGAGGUCUAGUUCAACUGGAAGGAGACACGCCUCACUUUUCCCCUCCCAAGGGUUUCUGGGGGAAUGAUGUCGAGUUCUAUCCGUGUCCAAAACAGUGAAACCCCUUAAUAGGAAACUAGUUUGCUAAGGAUGAUGUUGUUAUCUCUCCAGAGAGCGAUUGAACCAAGGUUCGUUGGGUGUUACGGCAUAUUGUCCUAUCGGAUGUCAUUGCCCGCUACACGGAACCACCCUUCAAUAUAUAUAUAUAUAUAUAUAUAUAUAUAUAUAUAUAUACACACACACACACACACACACAGAGAGAGAGAGAGAGAGAGAGAGAGAGAGAGANUAUAUAUAUGAAAAUUUUAUUGUGAAAAAUAAGACAUUACAAACUUACAGUAUAUAUGGUUUUCAUUAAGAGGAAAAAGCACCAUUAUACCAUCAUGUGAGAGACAUUUUCCUGGGUAAAAUUUAAAUCUAACGGAAAUGGAUGGAAGGACUAUCAGUGUAAGUAAUUACACCCUUUAUAUUAAAAUGAUGAGAAAAAACAAAUUGAACUUGGAGUGCAAUUGUGGAACAAACAUAGGGAAUUUUAUACAAUGGGAUAGUACUUUUAAAAAAUAUUUACCAUAUUUUGGAAUUUAAUUACCAAAAGAUAGUAUGUACAUUUGAUUUUUAUGAUUAUCUUUAUUCUCAGCAGCACCCAUUCAAACCACAUCACAAAAACACUCCAAGCUCUUGCUCAUCCAUUUCCGACGACUGCAUAAUCUCAUGCCACCUUCAUCUCCCUCCUAAGAACCUUCCAUUUUAAGGGAAAUUUUUUCCUUUUCCAGCCAAUCCAAUAUAAUCCAUAAAGUACCGGUGACAUUACUUGAGAGCCAUAUAUGGAUUAAUCUUGAAAAUUAGUAUGUACAUUUGAUUUAAUAUAAGCUUCAUAACCUUUUACACCCAGAUGAACAGAAGGAAUGCAUGUAAAAUUCCGUUGUUGGCACCAGAAAUCGUGUUUCAUGGACUCAUGGAUGAAGAUUAUAAUGUCUAGUAAAUCAUAUCGACUCUUUAAAACCUAAAAAUAAUACAAUUCCAGGUGAGACUAACUUCAGAAAACAAAGAUAUUGAAUUGGAUUCCGUUAAACAUUGAAUCCAACAAAUGAUUGUCAAUGGAAUAACAUUACCAAUAGAUCUCUGAUACUCCUACCAGGAAGUUCUAGGUUAAAUCAGAGUUUUAAGGGAUUUGAAUGUACAAAAGCAUCAAGGAAUGGUACUGAGCAACUUGUUGUAGGGGAGGUCGAUAUGCAAAAGGCUUUCAUUACACGCGACGGAAUAUCAAAUAGGAAUUCAGAUCUUCAGAGGAGAUAUCGAGAAAUUAAAUUGGUGAUCGUGAAUGUGAGUAAAGAAUUAUAAGCAAACAUCAUGCAGAUACAUAAACUGUAUAGUUGUAAUUUUCAAAGUAAACCAAUGAAUUCUAGAGUUCAGGUGAAGUCGCAAAGAAUUGAAGAUUAUAAUAGAUGCAUAUGGAGAAGGAAGCAAAUGAGUGGAAAAGAUGCUGCAAUAACCGGUGAGGGAGGGAGAAAUCGCUGGGCGAGGAAGAAGACACGUGUGAGGCCAGGCGGGUUGCUUUUUUUUUCUUAUUUUAAUAAAUUUCAAAGCACCAUUAAUUUGGUAAAUACUUUUUAAAAAUACAAUCUUUUGUAAAAAACUCCAAACAUAGGGGACUAAUGUAAUUUAAUGAUGAUACCUUGUAAAUCGCCCAACAUUCCCAGUUUCCCUCUGUUCUUGAAGACUUUGAAUACGUGGAUCCGACUCCGUUUCCUCAGUUUUAAAUACUAUCUAGUUAACUAUGCUUGACAUACUUGUACCAGGUGAAGUAAAAGUCGUACUCUACUAUCAUGUUUUCAAAUUGCAAAAAUCAAACCAUAAUACGUAAAUUGACCCUACAUUACAGCUUUUGGACGAAUCUAACAGAGUACCUUCAGUUUUGUUAUAACUGGUUAUAGUGAAAAUAAAUAUUAAAAAUUUGUUUUGGUAAUACAUAUUCAAAUUUAAUUAUAACAAAACUAAUGUAAUUCUGACUGAAAUUUUAUUUCACCAGGAUUUAUGCAGUUAACGUCUCUUUUUGUAAAACAGACGUUUUUUUUAACAUAAGGUGAAACGUGGAAGCUAUUGAUUAAUAUCUUAAAAACAUCCAAAAGCUACUAAAAAUCGAAGGCAUUGAUACUUUAAGAAACCCGCUGAACAGUAGAAUGGGGUGAUACGGAGGACCUCUAUAAAUGGUCAUUUUGGUUUGUGAAGUAUUUAUAUUUAAAAAUGCAAAAGUCGAAAUUGAAAUGAAUGUAUAAUACGAAGGACUAUUAAUGUAAAUUUUAUUAAAUAGUAACGAUUUGUGAAUAACAACACUCUAAAUUAUCUCAGCGCAUUUGUUCUUAUGUUCUCUAUUAUCUGUUUGUGUCUCUGUUUUUAUUGAGAUUUUAUAUUUAAUGUCACUUUUUAUUUUUUAUAUAAAGACCCAAAGUAAUAUCAUUACUAUUUUCGUAAGUAGAAGAAGUAGAUUUGUAUUUGAUUUCAUUAGUCUGAUUUUUGGCAUUUAUAUCACAUGGCCCAAAAAAGUAUCACGAGAUGGGAAAAGAUAUAGAUAGUAAGACUUGCAAGUCUUUCAACGUCUAAUUUGGGGCAAUGUUUCUUCUUUCAUGGAAAUGGAAAUUUCAUACUGUAUGAUAUGCCCCAUACAAGCAGACCACCAAUUUGAGUCACUCACUUGGAAGCCUUCAUGUUCACACUUCACAGGGAGACUAUAUAAACCCUAGCCUCAUGAAUCUAAAAAUCAUCAGUUAAGUAUUUAAUUUACAUUAUGAAUCCUUGUGUUUUUAUAAUGUUCUCGAUUCUCUUGCUGACUACAACUACCAGCCAAUUAGUACCGGUGGGAGGAGAUGAUAUUGGAGGUGUUGAUAUGAAAAAGUGUUUGGAUAAGGAGAGAGAUGCCCUCCUUCUUUUCAAAGCUCCCCUUCAAGACCCUGAUGGUCGUCUCUCUUCAUGGACAGCUGAGGAACAUGACUGCUGUAAAUGGAGUGGAAUCACCUGCAACAACCAAACAGGUCAUGUCACAGAGCUUGAUAUGGGCUUCUAUGGUCUUGGAGGUGAGAUAAGCCAUUCAUUGCUUAACUUAACCUACUUGAAUCAUCUUCAUCUUUCAGGAAAUUCUUUCAAUGGAACCAUUCCCACCUUCAUUGGUUCUAUGACUGAAUUGAGGUACCUUGACCUUUCCUUUAACUCUCUUUAUGGAACCAUUCCUCCAGAGUUUGGAAACCUCACCAACUUGCAAGACCUUGAUCUUGAUUCUGUUGGAAGGUGUAGAGUUGAAAACAUAGAGUGGUUGUCUCAUCUCUCUCAUUUGGAGUGGCUAAGAAUGGAUGGGAUUUCCCUAGCCAAACAAAAUCACUGGGUAGAUGUAAUUCUGAGUCUCCCAAAACUAACACAUUUAUCUUUAGGUGGAUGUGAGCUGUCACAGGUCGUGUAUCCAUAUUCUUCUUCAUUUCUCAACUCUUCUUCUUCUUCUUCUUCAUCUAUUGAGUUCCUUCAUCUCGGAAACAACAGUCUGACCUCAUCCAUGUAUCGCUGGUUGUUCCCCUUAACCAGCAAUAACCUUAGGACUCUUGAUCUCCUUGGCAACAGGUUAGAUGGGAUACCCAGAUACCUUGGUAACCUCUGUAGUCUGGAAAGUUUGGACUUCUCUUACAACUCGGCUGCUGUCAAAUUUCCUGAUUUUCUCAACAACUUGUCUGGAUGCACAUCCCUUUCAUUACAAAAGUUGGGCCUAUCUGGUAAUCAGUUAAAUGGAAGUAUAAGUGAGAAACUGUGGGAACUACCCAGGCUCCAAACUCUUUACCUUUCUUCUAAUAAUCUUACAGUUCCUUCCACAUAUCACUUGUCAAACAUCUCUUAUGUUGAGUAUCUUUAUCUGAGGUCUUGCAAGCUGCUAGGGCCUCGCUUCCCCAAAUGGAUUCAGACACUCAAAAAUCUUAUUGAUCUUGAUCUUUCCAAUACUGGAAUUUCAGACACAAUUCCUUUGGGGUUUUGGGACAUGUGGCCUUCUCAAUUAAAAUAUCUGGAUCUGUCUUCCAACAACAUUAGCGGGAAACUACCAGAUUUAUUAUCAAAUUUUGCCCAUGGUUCAACGAUAGAUUUGAGUUCCAACAGCUUUUGUGGUCCGAUACCGAAUGUUCCUUCCACUUUGUUUUCAUUAAAUCUUUCCAGAAACAAAUUCUCUGGAGGAAUCUCAUUUAUAUGCCAAAUUGUUGAUGGGUUGUUAGAAUUUCUUGACCUCUCUCAUAACUCAUUCAUCGGACAACUCCCGGACUGUUUGUGGCAUUUCAAUCAACUAAAAGUUCUUAAUCUCGGACACAACAAUCUCUUUGGAAGUCUUCCUCCCUCUAUUGGAUCUUUGAUACAACUCAAAGUGUUGUAUUUGUACAAGAACAACUUCUCUGGAGAAUUGCCUUUCUCUUUAAAAAAUUGCACAAGUUUAAUCUCUUUGAAUUUGGGGGCCAAUAAGUUUUCUGGUAAUGUGCCUGUCUGGAUUGGGGAAAACUUAUCAAAGUUGUAUGUUCUUAUACUAAGAUCAAACAAAUUCUUUGGAACCAUCCCUUUACAGUUAUGUCAGUUACCUAAUCUUCAAGUUUUGGACUUGUCAAUGAACAAUCUCCAUGGAACCAUCCCCUCAUGUUUGAGUAAUCUUACAAACAUGGUUCAACAAGGAGGAUUCUCACAAGAUGUAGAAUAUUU
rnacentral:lncRNA from 1 species